UCAUCAAGAACUUUCACCAAAUCUCUUAUAACAAUUUCCCAGCAUCAAAUUAUGGAUAACAACUUCCCAUUUUCACCAUCACAACCAUCUUCCUCUGAGCACAGUUACACCAUAGUGAUAUUCGUUUUCUCAACGUUCGGUUGCAUUUUACUUGGCCUAGCUAUUCUUGCUUACUGGUGCUACUUGAAGAAAAAGAAGAAGAGCACAAUACUAGUGGAAGAAAAAGAAUUAAAACACAUUGAUGAUCAUCUUAAGAUCAAGGAAGAAAUUGUUGAAGGACCUCAUGGGAAACUUGAAACAAUAGUACUCUCUGUGGAAGAAGAUUUGCAUGAAAAAGAUGACAUUGUAAGGACAAAGAAAGAGUUAGAAGAAGUUCAUCAUCAUAACUUAUUGCAUGCCAAGAAUAAUCCUUCAGAAAUUACACCUUCUGCUCUUGAAGCUGGCCAUAGACAAACUUGCGCAUUAUAAAUUCAUGAUUUAUUUUCAUUUUAUGAAUAAGUGACAAGUAAUGAGAAUCACUAUUGUAUAAACUUAUAAUUAAGUACUCGUAAUUCUUUUAACGUUUUAAUUUCUUCAUUCACUUCUGUCAUGACCCUUUUAAUCCAAAUUGAAAAAACCUUACCAAUCCCAUCAUCAUUUCUUUCCACCACCAACGCUUAUACAACCACUUCUUUACAGACUAAUUUUAGAUGAAAAUCAAGACAAGAAUAUGGAGAUAAUAAGUCAAAUGUAGGUUUUCAAGUCUCUUAAGGCUUGUUGAUGCUCCAUUGUCCAUUCAAAGUUUGCUACUUCCUCACACUAUUUAAACAAGUCGAAAUCUGUUCGGGAUCCCUUUGCCGUUUGGACUACAACGACAUUUUAGACCACAGCCAAACGUUGUUCCUCAGUUAUUAUUAGCAAAACUGACAAACACAAAAUCAAUGGAUUAUUAGUGCUUUGGAAUGAUCACAAUUGUCAGGUGUGCACAUUGAGCGCCAAACUAUUUAACCUAAAAUUUAAUUAUUAGAUCAAUCAAUUAAAUUAUUUAGAAUGUGGUUGCAACCAACAUAUCAGUCCAAAUUGUGUUAACCCUUUGAUAGUGUGAAUAAAACGAGAUCAAAGUAAUUAAUAUGAAUAGCAGUGCAAACAAUUAAAGCAAACUAUUUGAUAAAGUAAGAGAGAGAAAGAUUCUUAUUUAUUUUCUUGGCUUAAACGAUGAAAAUUCUUGAUGGUGAGUGAUUGAACAGUUGUGUUUAUAGAUAAUAAUCAAAAAAAUCUGAUACAAUGCUAAAAGAGAGGCUCAAUGUCGAGAAGAAGAGAAGUAUCUCACAGUUGAAUUGAAGGGUAGUUAUUAUUCUGCACUAUCCUAGAGCUAGUUACUACUCACUACUUAUUACUGUUCACAGUUAGUUAGACAGUUAAGAGUAGUUAGAAAGAGCUACUGCUGAAGCUUGUAUUAGUAGUUACAUUCAGUUGAUGUGAGGUAGUAGUAGAAGUAUAAAUAGUGAUGUAAUAGCACAAAUUACAUUCAUUCAGAAAUAAUACAAUUUCUUCUGUUUUCUCUUAUUCUACAUUUCUCUAAUCAACUAAUUAUUUCUCGGAUUCUUCCCUGAGUUGGUUAACAAUCUUUUUUGAGAUCGUUCUCCUAGAUUAACUUUCUCCAUUCAAAUCGUUGUAUCAAAAUCAUGAGUAAUAGGGUGAAUAUUAGAUCUAUACAAUAGUGAAAAAGUUGUGGGGUUUUAUAGGGUAGCUAAGAGUAAAUGCUUCUGUAAUCCUCUCUUGUUUCAGCCUUUACAUGGAUAAGAUCAUGGGUGUUUUAAUGGAAUUAAAUGGAGUCCUAGGUAUCUCGAGGCUAAUCCAUUUUCUAGGUUAUCCCUUGUUCGUGCACUUCAAAUUUUCCCGGAUAGACCGUUGGGGCUUCUACUAUCCCUUGUUAAUUAAUGAAGCUUGUCUGAGACAGGUGAUGCUUAUCAGACGAUCUAACUAGUCUUUGGUUUGAUUGACGUCGAUCAAUUCAGUAGUUAAUCCUGGUCUUCUUUACGCUUGCUACGUGUGUUUGGUCAGACAGUCUUCACUGCCGAUAUACUUUUACCAGUACAGCUAGGAGAAUAUGCCACAAAGCUACUACAAUAGACGCUCUCAAAUCUUCCUGAUCAAUUUCCACGUCUUGCACUGUAGGACGAUACUAAUCAUCAGUCAAGCAAAAUAAUAAUUAAGGGAAUGGGAGUAGGGCAAAGAGUGUUUUCUACUGCAAUCAGAAUAUUAACCUAAGAUAAAGUCCUCCUAGUCUUUAUAUUAGAGCCAAGUCUCUGCUUACUUGAAAGCAUACCCCAAAACAGAUUUUUAAUAACUUAAAAAAACGAAACACAAGAAAGAGACUAAGGAAAAGAACCUUAGGCAUAUUCAACACUUAUAAAUAAGCAGCCAAACACUCUUUUUCUCUACAUUUACAACGUCAAAAGUCAAAAUUUACAACAAUUUCCCAAGAUCUUAACUAUGAAUAACGAUUUGAAUAACUUCCCAUUCCCAUAUUUCCCUNNNNNNNNNNNNNNNNNNNNNNNNCCAAAACCCCACCCUCCUCCUCGUCCUCAUCCUCCACCUCAUCCUCGUCCUCAUCCUCCUCCAUAUGUUCCACCAUCACCAUCACCACCACCACCACCACCACCACCUCACAAUUACAUUAUAAUAAUAUUUGUUUUAUCGACAUUCAGUUGCAUUUUACUUGGUCUAGCUAUUCUUGCUUUCUGUUGCUUUUUGAAGAAAAAGAAGAAGAGCACAGUAAUAGUUGAAGAAAAAGAAGUGAAACACAUCGAUGAUCAUCUAAAAAUCAAGGAAGCAAUUGUUGAAGGACCUCAUGAGAAGCUUGAGACAACAGUGCUCUUCGUGGAAGAAGCUUUGCAUGAAAAAGAUGAUGUUGUAAGGACAAAGAAAGAGUUAGAAGAAACUCAUCAUCAUCAUAACUUAUUGCAUGCUAAUGAUAAAUCUUCAGAAAUUACAUCUUCUGCUCUUGAAGCUGGCCAUAGACAAACUUGAUCAUCAAUUCCUGAUUUUUAUAUAAACAUAAUAAAUUAUGUGGAAAGUAUGGGAGUGUCUAUUGUAUAUAUGAAGUGACUACUCUUCUUUCAUGCAAUGUUUCAAUUUCUUCAAGUUCUUGUAAGUGUAAAUUAAUAAUUGCCUUAUUAGAGGCUAAUGAUUGAUCAUUCGAUCACUAGUUAUUCACAAAAUACAAAAAUUUCUUGGUCAUGCCAAUUAAAUUGUCUUAUUUCCUCUUUUUCGACUUGGAGUUAACACUUUACAAAUUAUCGCGUUAGGAUUAGGGAUUAUAUUUUAUGCACUCCUAACUCUUUAAUGAGCCAGGUUAAACUAUUUGUUUCACAUGAUAACUUAACAAGAAUUAAGACAAGUAAAGAGUGAAGACACAAUAUUUUUACGUGAAAAAUACAUAGCUCAUAUAGGUGAAAAACUACACGUACACCUCUAUAGGAUUUCUCCCAACUUCACUAAAUCAAUGAGCCUCAACAGGAAUUUAGAUUACAAUGCUUGCAAUCUUAGGAACUAAUGAACUAAUUCCUAAACUUCAACAAUCAACUAGAUCAUUAAACCCAAUUCAAGUUUUCUUGAAGUUAAAUCAAACUCAAUAUUGUUCCCCGAACAGUGAUUCUAGGAAAGCAUAAACUUACAACUCAAUCAAACUUCCUAAUAUGCAAUAACUACAUCGAUCACUAGAAGACUGUAAAACCAUAUGACAUUGAAACUGGAACUUCAAUCUGGUCCUUUGUAUCAAGUUGCAUUUCAAUAGCUAGUUGGAACUCUCUUAAAUAUAGUUCUUGUUUAUCUGUUGUGUAAUGUGUUCCGCCUUUUCUCUCAGGUUUAAGUUUUUGGCAGUGCUUCUAAGUCCUUUAAGAACUCUUGCCCACCAAGGACUUGUUGGGUUCAAGUUGAAUGUGUGAAUGGUAAAUGGAGGGAAUUGGUGGAGAGAAAAAUGACAUCACACUUAAAAAGGAAGGUGCACUCAAAAAUAAGAAAAAUCUACUAAUUCUCCCACAUUGGUGGGAGAAAGAAACUGUCAUGUGUUCUUAUAAAGAAACACAUCUCCACAUGGAUAGUGAGGCAAGAACAAAGAGGUGCCUCGCACCGUAGUUGUCAUCACUCGCUUGUCUUGGCUUCUGAUCGAUGAGAUUAAUUUUUCAAACAAAUUUUAUUUGUAAUUCAAAAAUCCAAUGGAAUAAUUUUCUCCAUAUGCGCAUUUCAGACUCCAUGCAAAUGUAUGCGCAACGCAUCUCGAAAGGAAUGCGACCUUUAGAGAAAAUACAUACUGUUUCGGAAAAAAAGCAACCUACGGAUGCAGAUCUGGCGCAGAAGCCACUGGAAUGGGCGAGACGUCACCUGUGGUCGCAGGUCAGCCGUAGUUCCAGCACAGACUAGGUGCAGGUGACGUGACUGUUCAGUAAAAAUGCAAUUCUUCCUUUUCAAAGUGACACCUAAUGGCUAUAAAUACACUUAUUUCUCAGGUAGAUACAUAAUUUUUGAGAGCUGAAAAACACUUCUUGUCUUCUAAAAACUCAUUGUGAUCAUUUCCUGUUGAAUGAGUUCAAAGAAUCUGAUAGUUUGAGGUACCGCUACUGUCGGAUUGUGAGCCAUUUUAUCCUGGGAGGAAAAAUACCGUAACCUCGGGUACUUGAGAGGGAUUAAUUCCUUAAGGACACUCUAUGAAAUUGGAGGACUUGGCUCAAAUUCUGCUUCAUCUCUUUUCUUUACAAAUAUUGAUUAACACACCUCUAUCGAAAGAACAUUUUGAUCUUGUGUUGAAGGUGUUGAAACUUCUAGUUAUUCUUGAACUUAGUUGAAGAUUGUGCGAAGUAACAUACAGAUUGUGCCCAAAACAACAAUCUUAAGGAAUUAACUUGUAAUCUGUAUUUUUGGUUUUUGGAGAUUAAAGCUUUAUGCUUUCAACUCUGUUUGAACUUAACAAGUGAUUUAAAGAAAUAAAAACUUCAACACAAGUUAAAGGUCAUUCGGUUAACAAUUGGAAGACAUAAAAACUUCAUCGUUAAACUAGAAACAAGUAGUAUUUAUAAGUUGCCACAAACUUGUAAUUAGUAUAUUUUUAUACUAAACUUGACUAUCUUCUUAUGACAGGAAAAAUGACUACAGACGGUCAUGUGAAUGAUUCUGGGACAAGUGUGGAAGCAACGAAUGUUGAUACAACUAGUCGUAUGAGUGCUCCGCAGGCAAUGGUACCAACGGAAAAACCCAAAAAAUUCACGGAUGUUGAUUUGAAAAGAUGGCAACGGAAGAUAUUCUUCUACCUUACAAUCUUAUGUGUUCAAAUAUUUACAUAUGAAGAAGCUCUAGAAUUGCCCGAAGAAACUUUGGACCAGGAGUAAUUUGUUGUAAUGGAGGUGUGGAAACAUUCUGAUUUCCUAUGCAGGAAUUACAUUCUAAGUGGCCUCCAAGAUGACCUAUACAACGUGUAUAGUAGAAUGAAGACGUCAAAAGAGUUGUAGAGUGCGCUGGAAAGAAAAUACAAGACUGAGGAUGCUGGAACCAAGAUGUUCUUUGUUGCAAGAUUCCUUAUAAAAUAAUUGAUAACAAGUCUGUCACAUCUCAAGUACAGGAACUGCAGGUUAUCAUCCACAAUGUCCUUAUGGAAGGGAUGAGUUUGGUGAAUACCUUAUUUGAACAUGUUAAAAAUAUUCUUAAUGUUCAUGAACUUAUUGUAGAUUUGGUUGUGAACGAGGUGUUUCAAGUCACUGCAAUAAUAGAGAAGUUGCCACUUAUGUGGAAGGACUUCAAGAACUACUUAAAGCAUAAACAAAAGGAGAUGACAGUCAAAGAUCUCAUAGUAAGGCUGCGCAUUGAAGAAGACAACAAAGCCACAGAAAGGAGGUCGAAAGGAAAUUCUACAAUGAGUGGAGCAAACAUUGUAGAAGAUGACCACAAUAACACAAAAAAAUAGAAGAAAGCUGGACAAGAAAGCAAUUAACCUAAAAAGAAAUUCAAGGGUAAAUAUUUUAAUUGUGGCAAGAUUGGACACAAGUCAACAGAUUGUCGUGCCCCAAAGAAAGGCAAAAAGAAGGACCAAGCAAAUAUGGCUGUGUAACGCCCCGAGUCUAUACCCCAAAUGCUACACGGUGCUCAUAAUCUCGAAGGACCAUAAUCUAACCACUGGCUGAUACCUGCUGUAAUAUCUGAAUAGUAAUAAUACUAAAAUAUGUAAAAAUUAGGCGGAAAACAUUCCAUAAGGUUUACUUUUGAAUAACAAAUCUGAAUGCGGUAUCAAAAUACCAAAACUGAACAUAAAUACUAAAAUCUGAACAACUAUCUGAAAGUACUAUAGUCUGGGAAGCCUCUAAACUUUCUGAACUGUGGAGUUAAUGGGACAGGACCCCAACUAACUUCGACUACUGAAAAUAGUACUGAAAUACCAAAAUAAAACAUGUCGUUAAACUAUAAGGACUCACCACUGACUUUGACUACUAAAAAUUUGAUCUGCUAGGGGUGCUCGGGAGCUCGUGCAUCUGAACCUAUGAUAUAAGACAUCAUAGUGCAAAAAAUAUGCAUCAGUACUUUGAAUGUACUAGUAUGCUCAGUGAGGUAGGCUAAAUGCAUGGGUUCGUAUGCAUGACCAAAUACUAGCUGAAUAACGUGAGUAAGACUGAAUGAGAGUACAUACAUGAAUACGUAAACUAUACUAAAAUCAUGAUAAGAUUGAAUACUGAGUCUGACUACUGAUUAACUGAUUAACUGAGUUUAUUGAUACUAUAUUACUGAUAUCUAAAUGACUGUAUUCGAUAGUCAUGAUUCUGUAGAACUAUACUGAGUUCCAUAUUGAACUGAGUGACUAUAUCUGAUAGCCCUGAAUCUGUAGAACUGAAUUGAGUUCUAUACUGAGACUGAAUUUGAAACUAAAACUAUGAGAGGUAAUCAUCUAACCGACAUACCCCUUUUCUAGAUAGAUUUGGGGUCCAACCUGUAACCCAGUUAGAAGGGUGUCAGUACCGUGCCACAGGUAAAGAUAAUUGAAGAGAUACCCUCAUCUGACAGGUACUCUAAUGAGAAUGGUGUAACCCCCAAUUGACAGGUUAAAACACCUCAUCAACCCUCAACUGGUAGGUUUGAUGUCUCAACCUACGCUGGCUACGUAGUUAUAGAACUCAAGGAUUGCUUCUAAGAAUCAUACCCUCUACUAGAAGGUGAGUUCCCAUCCUUGGGUUCACUUGUUGCUGAAUCCUACUCCCAACAGAAUAGAUGCUGAACUGAUAUCCUAGUUCAUACUAGGCUUGACUGAACUGAAUACUGAGCUGGACUGGAUUGAUACUGAGUUCACUGAGUUUUCCUAAGUUCUGAAUCUGAUUAAGAGUACUACUGGUCGUGACCUGACUGAAACUAUUCUGUAACUGAUACUAGCUUUAGGUAUACAACUAAAUUAUCGGGUAUUAAAUACCCCCAGGACUCAAUAGUGUAAAGAGUAAAUCAUAACAUAAAUCUUGAAAGCACAACAAUGGCCACAUGUUUAUAAUUCACUUGCUAAGGUAUUUCAUCAAACACUUGUAAAUCUUGAACUUGCACAUGUGUAGGAAUGCAUGCUAACAUGUCAUAAGUACACUAAACAAUUCACAUAGGCAUUCCAACAAACACUUUCAAGGCAUGGCUUUAACAAUGCCACCCGCCAAGGCAUUUUGUAGGCUAAAAUGACACUAAGUCAGAAUACUUAGCUAAAAUAUUCUAAGUUCGGGACCCCUUGACAAGCUUAAAGGACUGAAUUGAGUUAGAAAUUUUGUGGGGUCUUACAAUAUCUCCCCCUUGGGAACAUUCAUCCUCAAAUGAGACUGACUAAGUUGAGAAUACUAGUGGACUUACUUACUUACUGGACAUGAACAUCUGGAACAUGAUUAUAUGACUGAUAUUACUGAUAUUCUGAAUUAUCAUACUGAAUAUGCAUAUCUGAUGUAUGAAUACAUGCUUGAGAUUACUGAUAAGCUGAGUUUCUCAUACUGAAUAUGCAUAUCUGAUGCAUGAAUACAUGACUGAACUGGCUCAUAAACAUAUGACUAAAUAUGCAAUGGUAACUGAUACCAAGUUUGUAAUGGAAAUUUAAGCAGGAAACUGAAUAAGCUUAAGGAAAACUAUUACCUUGAGUUGAGUCUGGAUUAGCGAAGAAUAGAUGAGGAUACUUGGUCCACAUGUAUGCUUCUGCUUCCCAAGUAGCUCCCUCAAUGGACUGAUUUUGCCAAAGAACUUUGACUAGAGAGACUUCUUUGUUCCUCAGUCUAUGAAUUUGAUAGUCAAGGAUUUCGACUGGAAUCUCUUCAUAAAAGAGACUGGUCUGAAUAUCUAUGCCCUCAAAAGGGACUAUGACUUCUGGGCCACCAAUGUAUUUCUUUAGCAAGGAAACAUGAAAUAAUAGAUGCACUGAAGCUAAAUCUGGAGGUAACUCAAGCUCGUAAGCUACCUUUCCAAAAUUGCUACGAAUUUGGUAAGGACCGACAUAUCGGGGACUGAGUUUCCUUUUCUUGCAAAAUCUCUUCACUCCCUUCAUGGGAGAGAUUUUCAGAUACACAUAGUCACUAAUCUCGAACUCAAGAUCUUUUCUUCGCAUAUCAGCGUAUGAUUUCUACCAGCUCUAAGCUAUCUUAAGUCUUUCCCUGAUCAACUGAACUUUCUCUAAGGUAUCAAAUAUUAAAUCAGGACCUACCACUACGGUCUCACAAACUUUAAACCAACCAAUAGGAGAUCUGCACCUCCUCCCAAAGAGCGCCUCAAACAGAGCCAUCUGAAUGCUAGAGUGAUAGCUGUUGUUAUAUGCAAAUUCAAUCAAAGGCAAGUGGUUAUCCCAACUACCUUUAAAGUCUAUCGCAUAUGCUCACAACAUAUCUUCUAAAGUCUGGAUGGUCCUUUCUGCUUGACCAUCUGUUUGAGGAUAGAAGGCUGUACUGAGAUGAACUCAGGUACCAAGACCCUUUUGGAAUGCUUUCUAGAAAUGAGAGGUAAACUGGGUACUUCUAUCUAAGACAAUAGACAACAAAACACCAUGCAAUCUGACCAACUCCCUGAUAUAAAGUUUGGUGUAAUCCUCGGCUGAAUAAGAGAUAUGGACUGGAAGAAAAUGAGCUGAUUUGAUCAUCCUGUCUACAAUAACCCAAACAAAAUCAUGUUGAUGUCUGCAAGAAUUCACUGCCUCAAGUCAUCUACACCUAACACACAUAACCAAAUCUGGUAAUGCAACACACCAUCUCCCUCUUGGGAGAAAACCUCAACCUUCUGAUCUCUGAUUGACUCUUUCAACUUAACAAGACUGGGAUCUCUAUCCUGCUUUUUCUUUACUUUAGAAACUAAAGAUAAUUUUGAGUUACUCUGCACCCAUACACUACCUUCUGCUGAAUCGACUGAGAGAACACCUAGCCAGGCUAACUGAUGAACUUCGUAAGAUAAUUUCUUCUUACUAUCCUCAAUAUGGGCAACACUACCCAUAGACAUUCUACUGAGAGCAUCCGUCACUACAUUGGCCUUACUUGAAUGGUAUAACAUACUCAUGUCGUAAUCUUUCAACAACUCUAACCACUUUCUUUGAUGGAGGUUAAGAUCUUUCUGAGAGAACACAUACUGCAGGCUCUUAUAAUCAGUGAACACAUCAACAUGCACACCAUACAAAUAGUGCCUCUAAAUCUUAAGGGCGAAUACCACUGCUGCUAACUCAAGAUCAUGAGUUGGAUAGUUCUUCUCAUGGGGUUUAAUCUAUCUAGAGGCAUAGGAUAUGACCUUACCUCUCUGCAUCAAAACAUACCCCAGUCUUACUCUAAAAGCAUCAUAAUACACAAUAAAGCCAUUAGAACCAUCUGGCAGGGUCAAAACUGAAGUUGUAGUGAGUGUAGUCUUCAACUCCUAAAAACUCUUCUCACAAGAAUCUAACCACUGGAAUUUGAAUUUCUUCUGAGUCAAUCUGGACAUAGGGGAUGUAAUAGAUGAAAAUCCCUCAACAAAACAUCAGUAAUAACCUGCCAAACCUAAAAAACUCCUGAUAUCUAAUGGAGAGAUAAUCUGGACCAAUUUUUCACUGCAUCGAUCUUUUGGGGAUCAACUCUAAUGCCAUCACCGAAAACUAUAUGGCCGAGAAAAACUACUGACCUUAGCCAAAAUUUGCACUUACUGAAUUUGGUGAAUAACUGAUGAUUUCUAAGGGUCUGUAAUACUAUUUUGAGGUGGUCUGCAUGAUCAUGCUCACUGCGGGAGUAGACAAGAAUGUCAUCUAUAAAGACUAUGACGAACAUGUCCAAGUACUGCUUGAACACACGGUUCAUCAAGUCCAUGAAGGCUACUGAGGCAUUGGUAAGACCAAAGGGCAUGACUAAGAAUUCUAAGUGACCAUACCAAGUUAUGAAGGCUAUUUUUGGGAUGUCAUAUUCCCUAACUCUAAGCUGAUGAUAGCCUGAUCUGAGGUCUAUCUUAGAGAAAUAGCUGGCACCCUGAAGUUGGUCAAACAAGUCAUUGGUUUUGGAAAGUGGAUACUUGUUCUUGACCGUGACUUUAUUUAACUGACGAUGGUCAAUACACAUUCUGAGGGAACCAUCUUUCUUAUACAUGAAUAGAACUGGUGCACCCUGUGGGGACACACUAGGUCUAAUAAACCCCUUAUCUAAGAAAUUCUUUAAAUAUUCCUUUAAUUCUCUGAGUUCUGCAAGUGCCAUUCUGUAUAGCGGGAAAAAUAUGGGUUGAGUAUCUGGAAGAAGAUCAAUUUCGAAAUUAAUUUCCCUUUCGGGAGGAACUCUGGGAAGAUCUUCGGGAAACACAUCUGGGAAUUUGCAAACUAUUGACACUGAUUCAAGAGUAGGGGUUUCUAAUCUAGAGUCCUGGACUCGAAUGAGAUGGUAGACAUAUCCCUUAGAUAUUAUUUUUCUAGCCCGAAGGUAAGAAACAAGCUAACCCCUAAGUGCUGAAGUACUACCCCUCCACUCAAGGAUGGAUUCAUUCAAAAAUUGAAACUGGACAAUUUUAUUUGUGCAGUCUACUGAGGCAUAGAAGGAAUGAAGCCAAUCUAUGCCGAGGAUGACAUCAAAAUCACUCAUCUCUAAUUCGACUAAGUCUGCUGAAGUGACCGUCUGAGAUACCAUAAUCAAACCGUUUCUAUAUACCCAUCGAGCUAUGAUAGAUUUACCCACUGGGGUAGAGACUGAGAAAGGCUCUGCUAAAAUUUCAGGACUGACUCCAAAAUCAACUACUAUAUAAGGAGUAACAAAGGAUAAAGAAGCUCCUGGAUCUAGCAAAGCGUAAACAUGCAAAUGAUAAACCUGUAAUGUACCAGUGACCAUAUCAGGAAAACUUUCUUGAUCUUGUCAGAACUGAAGAGCAUAGAGUCUGUUUGGGCGCUGCCCGCUGGUGUCACUGGAUGAGGCACCCUACUGAUUCGGGCGACCGAACUGAGAUGGAGGAUGGUUACGCUGACCCUAGGAACCUGACUGGGGAUAAUCUCUGACUCUAUGACCUGGCUUGCUACAUCCAAAAUAUACAUUACUUCCUACCCUACAGACACCCUGAUGGUUUUUGCCAUACUGCUGGCAGAGAGGAUUUGUUCGGGCUCUACUGAUAUUGCCCUGAGGUUUGAGGCCUAAUGCUCAGUCUCUGUUGCAAUUUUUGAAUUUUGGCACUAAAGCACGAGCCGAGGACGGAGCUGGAACUGAGUAUUUUGGGCAGAACUUGGAACGAUUCCUACUCUCUAACUUAGGUUGGGUAAAGCUGAAACUACCUGUUCUAGCUUUCUUGUUCUACUUCUCUCUGUCCUUAUUAUUCUGUUCUUCUAUCUGCUAUAUAUAGACCAUCAGCCUAGAAAAUUCCAUCUCACUAAUCAGUAUCGCAGUUUUGCACUUCGUAACCACAUUAUUAUUUACUCUAGACACAAACUUGCUCAUCUUAGACCUACUAUCUGCUACCACGUGAGGAGCAUAUAUGGCUAAUUGAGUAAAAUUUAAAGAAUACUCUUUUACUGUCAUGUUUCCCUACUUCAGAUUAAUAAAUUCCAAAACCUUUGCUUCCCUCAACUUCUGUGGGAAGAACCUAUCCAGAAAAAUAGUGGCAAACUUUUCCCAUUCAAUGGGCCUUGCAUCUGUAGUCCUCUCUGCUUUCCAUUAUUUAAACCAUAAGUGAAAAACAUCCUGUAACUAAUAUAAAGAUAACUCAGCACUCUCACUAGCUGUCAUCUCUAUAAUAUCAGUAACUUUUUUCACCUGAUCAAGAAAUUCCUAAGAGUCCUCAUCUAACUUAGACCUGAUAAAAGAUGGAGGGUUCAUUCAGGUGAAGUCCCAAAUCCUUGUAGCAGCAGUGUUGGCUACUGGAUUAGCCAAAUAAUAGCUGGGCGCUUAUUCUUGGCUACCACAACAUGAGCUAGUGUGGUGAAAGCUGUUCUGAACUCAGCGUGGAAGACAUAUUUGUCCAGAGGAUCUGGUUGGACGGGUUGAGAUUCUGGCUGGUCUCCCAUUUCUCUUCCCUAAGUUCUUUUGGGAGGCAUGAUCUAUAAAUGGAAGAGUACUUGGAUUAGCUAGAGAGUUUAACUAGAGCUCAUACUUCCUCGCAUGACAUGAAUACUGAAAGAAAGUAAACUAUUCCUAAAACAUCUCGCAGCCUUAUGUCCAUAAGUGGAGCGCACUACACACCCAUGUAAAAAACUCUAGUAGAUACAACUUCUAAAAUUCCUAGGACUCUAUUGAAUCUUAGGCUCUGAUACUAAGUUUGUAACGUCCCAAGUCUGUUCCCCAGACACUACACGGUGCUCAUAAUCUCAAAGGACUAUAAGCUAACCCCUGGCUGGUACCUACUGCAAUAUCUUAAUAGUAAUAAUACUGAAAUAUGUAUAAAUUAGGAUAAAAACAUGCCAUAAGGUUCACUUCUGAAUAAAAAAUCUGAAUGCAGUACCAAAAUACCAAAACUAAACAUAAAUACUAAAAUCUGAACAACUCUUUGAAAAUACUAUAGUCUGGGAAGCCUCUAAAAUAUCUGAACUGUGGAGUUGAUGGGACAAGCCCCCAACUAACUUCGACUACUGAAAAUAGUACUGAAAUAUUGAAAUAAAACAUGCCCUCAAACUAUGAGGACUCACCACUGACUCUGACUGCUAAAAAUUUGAUCUGCUAGGGGUGCUCGGGAGCUCGUGCGUCUGAACCUAUGAUAUAAGACAUCAUAGCACAAAAAACAUACGUCGGUACUUUGAAUGUACUGGUAUACUCAGUUAGAUAGACUGAAUACAUAGGUUCAUAUGCAUGAACAAUACUAACUGAAUAACACGAGUAAGACUAAAUAAGAGUACAUGCAUAAAUACGUAAACUGUACAGAAAUCAUGAUAACACUGAAUACUGAUUAACUAAUUAACUGAGUUAAUUGAUACUAUAUUACUGAUAUCUGAAUGACUACAUCUGACAGUCUUGAUUUUGUAGAACUAUACUAAGUUCCGUACUGAACUGAGUGGAUAUAUUUGAUAGCUCUGAAUCUAUAGAACUAAACUGAGUUCUAUACUGAGACUGAAUUUGAAACCAAAACUAUGGGAGGUAAUCAUCUAACCAACAUGUCCUUUUUUGUAGAUAGAUUUGGGGUUUAACCUAUAACCCCAAUUGGAAGGGUGUCAGUGUCGUGCCACGGGUAAAGACAACUGUAAAGAUACCCUUAUCUAGCAGGUACUCUAGUGAGAACAUUGGAACCCUCAACAGACAGGUUAAAAUACCUCAUAACCCUCAACUGGCAGGUUUGAUGUCUUAACCUAAGCUGGCUAUGUAGUUUUGGAAUGCAAGGAUUUCUUAUAAGAAUCACACCCUCUAUUGGCAGGUGAGUCCCCAUCCUUGGGUUCACUCAAUGCUGAAUCCUACUCCCAACGGAAUAGACGCUGAAUUGAUAUCCUAGUUCAUACUAGGCUUGACUGAACUAAAUACUAAGCUGGACUAGAUUGAUACUAAGUUCACUUAGUUUUCUUGAGUUCUGAAACUCAUUAAGAGUACUCCUGGUCGUGACCUGACUGAGACUAUUUUGUAACUGACACUAACUCUAGGUAUACAACUAAAUUGUCGGGUUUUAAAUACCCCCAAGACUCGAUAGCAUAAAGAGUAAAGCAUAACACAAAUCUUGAAAGCACAACAAUGGCCACAUGUUCAUAAUUCACUUGCUAAGGUAUUUCAUCAAACACUUGUAAAUCUUGAACUUGCACAUGUAUAGGAAUGCAUACUAACAUGUCAUAAGUACACUAAACAAUUCACAUAGGUAUUCCAACAAACACUUUCAAGGCAUGGAUUUAACAGUGCCACCCACCACGUUUGUGCAAAUAAAGAGUCAUUUUCUAUAUUUUCUCCAGCUCAAGGCGAAGAGAAGAUAUCUAUGGCAAACUCCGCAACUGCAAAAGUUGAAAGAAUAGGAAAAGUCUGCCUAAAAUGACAUUAGACAAAGUAUUAACUCUUAACAAUGUCCUGUAUGUACCGGAGUUAAGAAUGAACUUGAUUUAUAUAUCACUUCUUGAUAAAAAUAGAUUUAAAUUUGUAUUUAUUUCUGGUAUGAUUGUACUAAGCAAAGGAGAAGAGUAUGUAGGAAAAGGCUACCUUACUGAGGGCUUAUUCAAAAUGAAUGUAAUGACAAUUGAAAUCAAUAAAAGUUUUGUUUUUUAUUACUUGCUUGAGUCUAAUGAAUUGUGGCAUGAACAAUUAGGACAUGUCAAUUACAAAACUUUGUGAAAACUAAUUAACUUAGAAGUUUUGCCAUACUUUGGGUGCAAUAAAUAGAAAUGCUAAACGUUUGUGGAAUCAAAGUAUGCCAAGCAUCCAUAAAAGUCCUUUGAAAGGAAUUUCAAUCCCUUAUACUUAAUCCACACUGGAAUUUAUGAUAUGAAGUCACCGCCAUCUUGUGGUGGGAAAAAGUAUUUUAUACCUUUUAUUGACAAUUGCACAAGUUAUUGUUAUAUCUAUUUGAUAAAUAGUAAGGAUAAAGCAAUAGGUGAAUUUAGGCAAUAUAAAACAAAAGUUGAAAAUCAGUUAGAGAAAAAGAUCAAAACGCUAAGAAGUGAUAGGAGUAAAGAAUAUUAAUCUUCAUUUGCAGAGAUAUGUGUAGAGAAUGGAAUUGUCCAUCAAACUACGACCCCGUAUUCACCCCAAUCUAAUGGAAUUGUAGAAAGGAAAAACUGAACCCUAAAGGAAAUGAUGAAUGUCUUAUUAAUAAAUUCAGGUUUACCACAAAACCUAUGGGGGAAGCUAUCCUUAUAGCUAACCAAAUACUCAAUAGAGUGCCCCAUAGUAAGACACAAUCAAUUCCAUAUAAAAAAUGGAAAGAAAGAAAACCAAACUUGAAAUAUUUCAAAGUGUGGGGGUGUUUAGUGAAAGUCCAAGUUACUAUGCCUAAAAGGGUGAAAAUACGACCUAAGACAGUGGACUGUGUGUUCAUAGGAUAUGGUAAAAGUAGUAAAGCAUGUUGAUUUUUGGUUCAUAAAUUUGAACAUAUGUAUAUCAAUGAAAAUAUGGUAAUUGAAUCAUAUAAUGUUGAGUUCUUUGAACACAUUUAUUCGUAUAGAACUAGACAUGAACAGUCUAGUGGAGGGUCUAAAGGACCUCAAGAUGAACUAAGUGAGGAUGUAUAUAAUGAUGAGAAUCCAAUACAUAGUACACGUCAAAGAUUUUCAACUUCAUUUGGAUAAGAUUUUAUAACAUUUCUCUUAGAAAAUGAGCCUCAAAUAUUUAAAGAAGCAUGUCGUCUUCAGACUCAUUCUUUUAGAAAGAAGAAGUCAAUAGUGAGAUUGAUUCAAUCUUGAGCAACUAUACCUGAGAGUUGGUUGAUCUUCCUCCAAGAAAUAAACCUUUAGGUUCUAAAUGGAUCUUUAAAAGAAAAAUAAAAACGGAUGGUACUAUUAACAAAUACAAGGUAAGACUUAUAGUAAAAGGCUUUAAAUAGAAGGAAGGCCUUGAUUAGUUUGAUACAUAGAAGGAAGGCCUUGAUUACUUUGAUACAUACUCGCCUGUAAUGAGGAUAACGUUAAUUCAGAUGUUUCUUAUCUUGGCAGCGGUAUAUGGUCUUGCAAUCCAUCAAAUGGAUGUGAAAACAACAUUCUUAAAUGAAAAAUUGGAGGAAGAAAUUUAUAUGGAAUAACCUAAGGGUUUUUUGGUUCCAGGUAAAGAAAAGAAGGUGUGUAAACUUAUUAAGUCACUUUAUGAACUAAAACAAGUACCAAAACAGUGGUAUGAAAAAUUUGACCAAACCAUGUUGGCAAAUGGGUUUAAGAUAAACGAAUGUGAUAAAUGUGUUUAUAUUAAAGACACUCUAAAUCACAAGGUCAUUGUUUGCUUGUAUAUGGAUGAUAUGUUGAUCGUCAGUAGAGAAAUUUCUGACAUAAAUGCUAUGAAACGAAUGCUUGAGAGAAAGUUUGAUAUGAGAGACCUUGGAGUUGUAAAUGUGAUCUUAGGAAUAAGAAUCCAUAAAACUCCACAAGGGUUGGCAUUGUCUCAGUCUCAUUACAUUGAAACGGUACUUGACAAGUUUAAGUAUUUGGAAUUCGGUAUUGCCAAGACUCCAUUAUAUGUAAGCUAUGUACUUCAAAAGAAUUAAGGCGAAAAUGACUCACAGUUGGACUACGCCAGAGUGUUAGGAUGUUUAAUGUAUAUCAUGAAUUUUACAUGACUAGACAUAUCAUGUGCUUUUAGUAAGUUGAGUCGGUACACGAGUAAUCCUAAUAAACUCAUUGGAUGGCAAUGAAAAGAGUUUUGGGACAUCUUAAAUACAUUCAAGACUAUGAUUUGCAUUAUAAUAAAUAUCCUACGGUAAUUGAAGGAUAUUAUGAUGGAAAUUGGAUCACCGAAUCGAAUUAAGUAAAAUACACAAGUGAAUAUGUAUUUACUAUAGGUGGAGGAGCGGUCUGUUGGAAAUAGUCCCAACAGACAUGUAUUGCUCUCUCCAUAAUAGAAUUUGAGUUUAUCACAUUAGAUAAAGCCGGUGAAGAAGCAAAAUGGCUCCAAAAUUUCUUGGAAAAUAUUCUUUAUUGGCCCAAACCAUUGGAACCAAUAUGUAUACACUGUGAUAGUCAAGCAGAAAUAGGUAGAGCAGGGAGCAUGAUGUACAAUAGUAAAUCUCAUCACAUAAGAUGGCGAUAUAUUAAAGACCUUCUCUUUAGUGGAAUUAUCACUAUUGACUAUGUGAAGUCAAAGGAUAAUGUGUCGGAUCCACUUACAAAUGACCUAUAUAGAAAGAGAGUUGAGAGAACAUGGACAAAAAUUGAUUUACGGCCUAGGACAAGUCAGCAUGGCAGUAACUUUACCUAGUAGACUGGAGAUCCCAAGAUCUAGGUUCAAGGAGAUCAAAUAAAGUUGUGACUGACGGUUUAAGAUUGUCAAUAUACCCAAUCCAUUCUCAUGAUGCAGACAAUGUAUAGUAAAUAAGGAUAAGGCUUAUGAUGCGAAGCUUUUUAGUAAUUAUCCAAAUUUGGUAGAUAUGACCAAAUAGUUUAGUCUAUAGGAUUGAAUGUCUAGAAAUCACCUAUGUGAGGGUGACGUGGAAGUCACUUCAAGAAGAAUGAUAGUAAAGGCCUAUUCUCUACUCUCUAGUGAAACCAGGACGUGUUCAUGGCUAAAACAAACCAAAUCGUGAGAACCAUAAAUGGUUAAAGGAUGGUUGUGUGAUAGCUGUUGUCUAGGUGUACAUUAAAGCUCGAUGGUUUAAGGAUAUCAAAUCUACCAAUUCACCAAGUUCAUUUGAUGCAUGUUCACUACAAAAAGUUCAAAUGGAAACCCCCUUAUCCAGAUGCAAUCAGUCUUUACUUGAUUGAUCACAUGCUUGUCCAUAAAUUCUUCAUAAGAUAGCCAUUCCCCAUCCAUGUUGGGGAUUUUAGGGUUCUAGUUGAAUGUGUGAAUGGUAAAUAGUGGGAAUUGGUAGAGGAAAAAAUGAGAUCACAUUAAAAAAGGAAAGUGUACUAAAAAAUAAGCAAAUUCUAAUAAUUCUCCCAUAUUGGUGGGAGAAAAUUUUUUUUUCAUCUGUUCUUAUUAAGAAACACAUCUCCACAUGGAUAGUGAGGCAAGAAAAAAGAGAUGCCUCGCACCGUCAUCAUCGUCGCUUACUCAACUCGACUUUGGCUUCAGCUUUGAAUUUGGAUUUGUCAAAUGAUCGAUUGAUGAGAUUAAUUUUUUAGACAAAUUUUAUUUGAAACUCAUAAAACAAGUCAAGUUUUAAUCAAAUAAUCUAAUGGAAUAAUUUUCUCCAUAUGCGUGCAUAUUUCAGACGCCAUGCAAAUGCAUGCGCAAUGCAUCUUUAAAAAGGAACGCGACCUUUAGAGAAAAAGACAUACUAUUUCAGAAUAAGGGCGACCUGCAAACGUAGACCUGGCAUAGGCUGGAUCUUCUUGGCAUAGGUCAGGGGAAAAAGCCAUUAGAAUGGGUAAAACAUCAGCUGCAGCUACAGGUCAGGCGUCGUUUCAGCACAGAUUGGUGGCAGGUGACGUGAUUGUUCAAUAACAAUGUAAUUUUUCUAGAACCAAUGAUUCUGUUAUGAAGGUAAACCUAAUAGCUAUAAAUACCUGACUUAUUCCUCAGCUAGAUACAUAAUUUUUAAGAGUUAAAUAACACUUCUUGUCAUCUAAAAACUCAUUGUGAUCAUCUCCUGUUAAGUGAGUUCGAAAUGAUAAUUUGAGGUGCCGCUACUGUCGGAUUGUGAGCCAUUUUAUCUUGGGAGGAAAAAUUCCAUAACCUUGGGUUCUUGAGGGGAAUUAACUCCUUAAGGACACUCUGUGAAAUCGGAGGACUUGGCUCAAAUUCUGCUUUAUCUCUUUUCUUUAAAAAUAUUGAUUAACAUACUUCUAUUGAAAGGUCAUAUUGAUCUUGUGUUGAAUGUGUUAAAACUUAUAGUUGUUCUUGACAAGUUUUUUCUUGAACUUUGUUGAUGUUUAUGCGAAGUAACAUACAAAUUGUGUACCCGAAACAACAGGACUCCCAUCUUACUAGGAUGCUUGAACCUAUUUUCAUCUGUGGACUCUUGUCUUUGAUAACCUCUUGUAUAGGCUUAUGAUCUUUUAUUCAUGAGAAUUCUUUAUUCUAGAAAUUCUAUAUACAAGUUGGACUCUCGAUGCUGGAAUAUGUGUCUUCAACCUAGUCGUUUUGUGUCAUUGUCAAUCAUUGAAAUAUUUGGUGUGACAGAAUUUGUGAACCCAAAGGACUAUAACAAACAAGUUCAAUAGGUACUCUUAUUCAUGCUUCGUUCUUAAAUUGUAUUAAUAAAAGCUUGAGUGAAAGCAGUCAUCCGUUAUAAUUGGAUAUUACUUUCUUAAAUGUUUGAAAGGUCAUUGCUGAGAUGACUGAAAGCGGAGUCGAUAGAAGUGUGGAGUGCACAUGCCAUAUUAAUGCUAUGAUUUUUGUAUUCGAAUGUGUCAAUGAUAUAUUAUUUCUUCUACUAUUAAAUUUUCAUUAACCCAUCUAAGCCUUUUAUUAAAAUGCAUUUUGACACAUACUAAAUCACGGGGCCGUGGAGUGACUGUUCUUACAGGGCUGCCCCAUAAAAAAUUAUUUUCAAGAUACAUCCUAUGAACUUUUUGAAUGAAAGGACUCUAAAGGGAACAUUCUUUGGAAACAUCAAGCCGCAUUUCUAUCUUCCUUCUUUGAGAAGUACAUGAACAAGAAACUAGAAUUGGAGAAGUUCAUCACUCAUCAACUCCCAUUCGUUGAAAUCAAUAAGGAUUUUGAUCUAAGUUUUAAAGAAGAAUGCCUCAUUACAAAAUAAGAUUUCUCUAGAAACUCCUAGAUAGUAGAUAUUUUUAUAGUAGACAAGUCUUUUUUUUGGUUAAAAUGAGUGGUGGUUAGUGAGCCACAAAUGCCAUAGUUUAGUGUGAGAUAUUUUUGCUUAUUUUGUGAUUUAUAAUCCUCACACUAUAUAUAUAAAACCUAUGUAAUGAACUAUCUAAAGAAUAUAGAGAACAUAAAAAAAGGUUUUAGCUUUUUCUUCUCUACCGUCUUUUGUAGCAAUUUAUAACUGUAUUUUUACAACUGUUUUAGCUUGUAGCCUUUCAAUUCUUCUUUCCUUUCUUUCUUGACAUGGUAUCGGAGAGUAUUUCUUAAGGGAUCUGAAUUUGAUCUUAUUGAUUGGCUUAUUGUAACACCCCGAAAUCUCAUCCCGAGAUGCCACACGGUGCCCAAGGCUACACGUAGCCUCGAGCUAACCCUUUAAGCCAAAACACUACCCUUGGGUUCCAACACAACAACAUACACGCUACGCUAAGGAUAUAUAUAUAUAAGUACAUAUCAUAUCACAUCGCACGUGGCACGGAAUAUCGUUAGAAUGUACAUAUAUGGAAUAUCUAUACACAAACCAAUCCAACAAUACACUAGUCUGACAGAGCCUCUAUACAAAAAAAUCAACGAGCCAUUGGGACAAACCCCCAACUGACUUAACAGACCAAAGAGAUCACAAAAAAAUAGCACCAAAACUAUCAACUUGGUCCUCGAACCAUGAGGACUCACCACUGAAGGAACGUAGAUGUGGCACUCGGAUAUCACUAUCGCGGCUGCGCUGAGUACCUGAACCUACAUCAUGGUAAGAAUGUAGCCCAUAGAGAAUAUGUGGGUCAUCAUAAGAUAUGUACUGAUUAUUUGGGGGCACAUACAAAAUAUAAAUAAUAUCAUAAAUAUCAUAAAAACGUACAUACGGACCAUAAUGACACACCUGACUUGAGUGAUAUUGAAUCAUGCAACUCAUAACAUCUUAGAUAAGAAAUGUAGGAGAAAAACCUCAUAAAUCAUUAUAGAUCAUCAUAGGCAACUUGACUUACCACAUCAAAACUCGGAGUGACUCGGUAUUUCAAUAAACAUGACUCUUAUGGACAAGGGAGUUUCCUAUAACCGACAACCCUACGUGAACUGUGUGGAAUACCAACGUUUGAAACCCCCAUUGGCGGGAGCGUCAUACUCUUUGAUAGGGAGUACGACCUUAAAACUGCAAUAAUCACAAUCAGGCUCUCUGGCCAAUAAUAUCAUCAUCAAACAACCCUACAGUGGCACAUAGGUUUGGAGAAAUACCAAAUUUUUCUCUCGAUGCUAAGUACUACUCCCCAACAAGCUCAGAACGUGUUGGGAAAUCCACCACAACAUCACAAGGAUAUAUCAUAAAGACCAAAUCAAAUCUCUUUCUCAUUUAUCAAAUCAUAUCAAUUUGUGGAUUCUUAACUUAACAUAUUUUAGCUCAAAACAUUUUAAUCUUCCUAAACAUCAACAAGGUAUCAAUGCAUUGAACCAUAACCCACUCAACAUUUGGACAAUGAUAUGAAGACUCAAUACAUAAUAUUUUCAACAAUUUAACUCAUCAAAACCAUUCGAAAAAUACCAAGACUCAUUGCAACUUCAAUAUCAACAUUUCUCAAUUUGCCAUCCAACUCUCAUUUAAAAGUACUUGAGACAUCAACCCAUAGUAGGGAUAUAGAAUUUCCAAUAUCAAUUAUAAAUUCAUAAUAAGGAAAUAGUGGAAUGAUAGUAUAAAUUAAGGCUUAACAAAUUAAAUUAUCAUUCUCUCAUAAUCAAAUACUUUUUGGACAUAAUUCCAUCUCAACAUCAUACACAUAUCGGAUGACAUAAUCCCAUAGCUCAUGGACAAUAAUAUAAGAUAUAAAACUAUAUUUCUAAUUCAUGGUAAAACAUGUAAAAUCUCAUGUCAAUGUAAUUCAACAAAAAUACCAGGCACAAGAUCGAAAGGAUAAUCUUGUUCAAAGCCCUACAUACCGAAAAAUGGAAGAUGAAUAUGAACUUCCGACUCUGAAAUUUUAUUCAUGAAAAUAAAGGGUGCUUAUUGAAGCCCUUAACAUGAUGAACUCGAAUCCCAAAUCAAUUUAAAAUUUCUACGGUUCAAUCAAGAGACAUAGAAGGAUGGAAUCUGGAGUCGUAGGGUUGGGGUUUGAGCCUUAGGAAAUUUUGGAGAAAAAUAAGCUAUUGAAUGCUCUUAAUGGACUUAAAUCCACGGUUUACCCGGAUGGAUUGGAGUGGGAAUGACCAAAAUACCCUUAAAAAUUAAAUAAUGUCAAAUCUGUCCUUUGGUGGAUUAUUUUGAUAGGCUAAAGUAGAUCGGCCAUAAAUUUUUGCUCCGAUGGAAAAAUUGGAUAAAACCAAUUUCAUUGGAAAUAGGGCUUUCAGAGAUUUCUGUUGAUAUAUAGUAGCUCACCCAGAUCAUUAUGUACAAGGAGUUAUGGUCAUUUAAAGUUGACCCUAAAAUUUGCCUGGCCUCAGUAUUUUUUUCCUGCACAUUUACUGUUCACCCCUAUUCACGGUUAGAUCAGAAUUAUCUUAACUCAUCACUCGAGUGUCCAUUUUGGAUGAUCCACAUAUCAUUGGAAAGAUUAUUUGAUGCUCUACACGAUGACGGGUCAUAUGUCCAGAAAUUCCACAUAGAAAAUUAUUAAUCAUGAUAAAGAACAGAAUUCAACAUAUUUUCAUCCGAGAUCUUAACGAAAAAUUUUUUCGGGGCAUCACACCUAUCUUAUUUUUGAGUUUUUGUUAGAUCUAUUUUCUAGAAAGUCAUGAAACCUGAAAAUCAACCAACGAUGGGUCCUCUGAAUUUCAGUGGAAAGAAUUAUCAUAUUUGGGCUAUCAAGAUGAAGGCUUAUUUAAAGGCCCUCAACUUAUGGGAUGUUGUUGACAGAGGAGAACCUGCUGUCCAGCCAUUGAGAGAUGAUGCAAAUCUCAAUGAAAUUAAAAAGUAUGAUGAGUUGGUGACUAAAUCUCUAUGAGCUCUCACUUGCAUACAUUCAAGUUUUAUGGAAGUGAUGUUUACAAGGCUUAUGGAUUGUGAAACAGCAAACGAGGCCUAGGAUAAGUUAAAGAAGGAGUUUGAAGGUAGUAACAGAGUGAAAUUUCUCAAGGCCUUAACUUUAAAGAGGGAGUUUGAGCUCUUGACGAUGAAGGACAGAAAUAAUGUGAAAGAAUAAUCUUUCAAGUCGAUGGAUAUUUUGAACCAAAUAAGGAUACUUGGUGAAAGCUUUCUAGAUAAAGUUGUAGAAAAUAUCAUAUCAUCCUUUUGAACAAGUUUGAAUAAAAAAUCUCAGCUAUUGAAGAGUCUUGUGACUUUACUACUCUUUCACUAGCUAAGCUGAUCUCUAAAUUCCAAAUCCAAGAGCAACAAAUAACUAUGAGAAGUGAAGGGAUAAGUGAAAAUGCCUUUCAAGUAAUGCAUAAAUUCUAGCAACAAAAAGAAGGUAGAAAAGUCUCUUAGACCACUCUGAAAAGGUGAAAUCUGAUGGAUACCCAAGGUGAAUGGUUAAGGAAAGAAAAAUUUCCACCUUAUGUUAUUUGUAAGAAGACAAACCACUUGGAUAAGAAUUAUUGACCAAAGUCAAAGAGGUCUCCUAUUCAGUGUAGAUAUUGUAAGAAAUAUGGAUAUAUUAAGACAUAUUGAGAAGUAUUAUAGGCAAAAGCAAACUCAAAGUGGUCAAUCUUCCCAACGAAUAAAUUUUAUGAAAGAUCAUCUAGUUGAAAAAUCAAAGGAGGAGGUAUUCAUGGCCUUGCACACACCAUAUGUUGAUCGAUAUAAUUGUUAUGUUGAUAGUGCGUGCAUAAGGCAUAUGAUGAUUGAUGAAAUUUUUUUUUAGCUUGGACAGAUCUAAUAGGACCAAAGUGAAGCUUGGAAAUAGUGCACUACUGCAAGCUCAAGGUAGAGGGUCCAUGAAAUUUUUUAUGAAUGAAGGUAUAAAAAUCAUAAAUGACAUUCUUUAUGUGCAAAGUUUGACUCAAAACUUGUUGAGUGUUGCUCAGUUUCUUCAUAAUAAUUAUUCACGUAAUUUUAAGGAUAAAAAGAUAUGUUAUUUAGGAUCCUAAGGGUUGUGAAGUAGCUAAAAUUAGCAUGAUUGGCAAUUCUCCUAAAGGAUAUGAAGUAGCUAAAAUUAGCAUGAUUGGCAAUUCCUUUCUAAUUUUAUGCUAUUCUAUUGAAAGUUGUCUUUCAAUGUUGUAAUGAGUGAUACUUGGCUUUGGUACAAAAAGAUUUGGUCUUUACAACCUUAGCUCAUUGGUGUAUAUGCAAUCCAAGGGUAUGGGGCUUGAUGUACCCAAAAUUGACAUGUGGCGAGAUGUUUGUGAGUCAUGCCAACUUGGUAAAUUGCAUAAAUGAUCCUUUCCUAAAGAAAGUCUUUGAAGGGUAAAUAAAAAGCUAAAGUUACUUCAUAUCGAUACACGUGAACCAAUGAGAAUGACUUCUUUGUGUGGGAAUAAAUACUUUGUCCUUUUUGUAGAUGAUCUAACUCGAAUGACAUAGGUUUAUUUUAUAAGUAGCAAAGUUUAGGUGUUUUCUAUUUUCAAAAAAGUCAAGGUUAUGGUAGAAAGGGAUAUUGGUUUUUGGUUUAAGUAUAUCAGGUUAGAUAAUAGAACUGAAUAUACUUCACACCAGUUCAACAAGUAUUAUAAAUAUUUGGGUAUUAACCAACACUUCACUAUGAGCUACACUCCAAAACAGAAUAGGGUUUUUGAGAGAAAUAAUAAAAUGGUGUAAUGCCCUAUGUUUUUUGGUCCUUGAAAGUUUCUGUAAUUUUAUACUCACUGUCCUGAAUAUGACUCACCCUAUGAGUCUUUGAGUGUCUUAACGGGUCAGGUGGCCCUAGUCGUAAGGUGUCCAGUGAAUGGUGUUGGAGUUACUUCCCUGGAUAUGACUUAGGUACACGAGUCAAGAAGACUCAUAAUGAGUUGUUGGGAUCGAAUUAUAACCAAAUUAGAAAUUUAGUGGCAAAGUUCUGCUCUGAGUACGAGUGGCUCACUAUGAGUCAUAAGGACUUGUUAUGAGUAGUUGGGUGCAAAUCAUAGGAUGUCCAUUAUUUACCUAAUUGGGUUCUGUGUUGAUUACGACUGGACCCUACGAGUCAUAAUAUCCCAUGAUGAGUGGUACCAAUUGAAUCCUAGGGUCAAUAGUGUGUAGGUGUCCUAGUAACUAUCUUGGUUAUGACUUAGGAUGUCGAGUCAUAUUGUGACUAUACGAGUCAUAUAGUGACCCGUAGUCACUUGAGAUAAUUUUUUAGUCUUUUUAUUACAGACACUAUGGACAUUUUCCCUUUACCCUAUUUUUAACCCAUGACUUAAAACCCUAUUGGGGACCCUAUUAACGUUGUUAAAUAACUAAAACACUUUCAAAAGAUCUUUUCAAUUCUCUCAAGCAACCGUAGUUAGGGUUUCCAAGUUGUAGGCCAUCCAAGGGCUGAAGGGUUGAAUUCCUUCCGUAAAACUUGUUAUUUUAGGCUUGUUACUCUUUCCUCAUUGUUAAUUUGUUAAAAGCAUAUGUUUUAAAGUAAUGUUCAUUCGAUAUUGAUGUAGGUUUUAAAACAAGGGUUUAGGGUUUUGAAUGCUUAUUGUUGAACAAUAUUUUCCCAUGGUUUACAUAUAAUUAUUCAUGAUUUAAUUAUGGUUUUGAACUUUUAGGUGCAUGGGUAUGGUGAAUGAACUACGGAAUUGUGAUUUUUCCAAAUUUGUGACUUUGGAAGUGGUUAUGACCCCAACCCCAUAUUGUGAAAUUUGUUUUAAUUAGAAGAAAUGUUGAAAUUCAAUUAUCCUUGAACUUUUGCAUAAUGGUUUUGAAUUGAACCUUGUGGGUUUUGUGUUUUCACAAGUAAUAAUAUGUUUGAACCUAGGGGGUUAUGAAUUCCCCAAGUGAUGUAAUUGCUCUGGGAAGGUGAUGUUACCUUGCAAGUUUAGUUGGUAUGACAAUACCAAUAAUGUAUGACUACAUGUGUAUUGUGGUUCAAUGAAUAAGAUUGUGUGAUAAAUCUUUUUAAUUAGGCUUUAGUGAGGGUUGUGUAGCUGAAUCAUGAAAGUUGAGGUCCGAGUGAUCGAUAUUGAAAAUCAAAUUUGUCGAUGCGGGAGUCUAAUUGAUUAGGGAGAUUUAGUCCUCCUUAUUAUUAUUACAUGAUUAGGGAGGUUUGAGUCCCCCACAUAUCAUUACAUGACCGGGUGCUUAAGUCACCUUAGUAAAUGAUUGGGUGGUUUGAGUUCUUUAUGCAUAUAUUUGAGAUUAUUCUCCUAUUUGUGUGGCCUACACACACUGGGGCCCGACCAAGGGGUGAGAGCUGGGGCCCAUAUAUCCCUUGGGUACAUGUUAUGACUGUUGAGCAACACAAUCCAGUCUAAAAUUUUAAAGCACAUGUUAAGCCUUGUCCCUUAUCUUUGUAUGUGAUAUAUCUAUAUGUAUAUGCAUUUGAUUAUGUUCAUUGGUUUUGAAUGAUUUUUCAACUAUUGGUCAUGGCGUUAUGUUAUCCUUAUCCCUGAAUUACAUGCUACUAUUCACCCUACUAACCAUCUUCGGACCCUGUAUCCCCACACACACCAAUGCUUUUUUUUGAUUUUUUGUGUAGAGUUAGAAAUAUUGAUUCGAUCCAUCGUUUCAUGGUGUUGUGGUGAAGCUGUAAUCUUUCAUUCCAUGAAGGCUUAGGCAUUUCACCAGCUUUUAUUCUUAGAUUUGAGUUUAUAGUUACCUUUAUUAUCAUUUUCAUUCUCAUUGUCGUCUGUCAGAGUCAGGGACAUGUCCUGACCCAAACUGGUUUUGUUUUUUUGUUUAAAAGGCUUUGUUUGGAUUACUGUGGAUAUUGAACGGGGUUGGUCGGUUGUUUGGAUGGUCAUCGAUCAUCGGUUAUAGUCUUAUUUUGAUUUUCUUUAAGCUUAUCGCAUGCUAUCUUUUUAUAUAUUCAGAAUUCAUCUGAUAUUAGGUGAUGUUAUGUUUGAUUUGGUUAGGUACAGGGGGUAAUCUUUGAUCCAUGUGGUACUUGAGAUACCCACCAUGGACAAGCCCUAAUUUAGGUCAUGACAGAGAUGGUAUUAAAGCCUAGGUUUGGUGUCAUUGGGUGUCCAAACAAAGAUAUGUCAAGUAGAGUAUAUUUUAUAGGUGUGUCGUAUGCCACACUUAUUAGGGAGAAGCUACGAGAUAUUUUGAAAUCUUUCCUUUCCUUGUUUUCAAUUUUAAGCUAUAGAGUCUGAGGUCUUGAAUCUUCUCUAAUUCCCGUAUAUCCGUUUUUCAGAUCAUGCCUCCUAGAAGAUCUGAUACUCGUGGAAACUCUUCUGUCCUAUCUGAGGAUAAUGUGGAUGGAUUUUGUCUUACUCUAGAAGUUCAAACCUGAUCUAGGGUCACUGCUUCUAAUUUCCCUGAGGGAGCUUUCCAUCGGUUUCCCCUAUCCCACCUUAGGUACCCCAAGUUAGAGUAUCUAAUGGUGAGUUUUGUAGUCAAUUCAUUUACUUACCCAGUUGGUAGCCUCUUAGACUGAGUGUGUUGCUUCUGUUGGUUCAUUAUUUGAGGCCACUAGAGUUGGAUAAUUUAUGAGGUUGAGUCCUCCUAUUUUCACUAGUUCUAAAGUUGAGGAAGAUCCUUAAAUUUUUAUUGAUGAGAUAUAAAAGAUUUUCCAUGUGAUGCAAGACACUGAUGUAGAAGGUGUAGAGUUUUUUGCUUACCAACUGAAAGAUAUGGCAUACCAAUGGUAUGAGGAGUGGGACCAGUCUAGGGGCGAUGAUACUGAGUCUACUCUGUGGGAUGACUUCUCAGGCGCUUUUCUUGAUCAUUUUUUUCCUAAGGAGUUGAGAGAAGUGAGGGUUAAGGAAUUUGUGAAUUUGAAGCAAGAUAAGAUAUUAUUAAAGGAGUAUGCCUUGAAGUUUCAUUAGCUAUUGUAUUAUUCUCCCGAGUUGGUAUCUAGCAUGACGGAUAGAGUGAGGAAGUUUACUUCUGGGUUGUCCCAUGAGUUGAUCUUGAAGAGCAAGGCUACCUUGUUAAACAAGGAUAUGAACAUCUUUAGGCUUGUGGUGUAUAUGCAAUAAGUGGAAGAAGAAAAGAAGAAACAAGUAAAGAUAAGUGAUAGAAAGAAUAAGAAGUAUUGUUACUUGAACCAGAAGAGGUCAGCAGCAAAGUGGUAGAAAUGGUGGAAAGUCGUCUAAGAAGAAGUGGGGAAAUUUUGGUUCUUACUCUACAACUUGUGCUCCUUAUCCUAAGUCAUCGAGUGAUCAUUGUUAUUAGUAUGAUAGUGGGUUUAGAUCAUAGGGAGCUCAGUCUCAGGUAAGCAGGGCUCAGUCUGUCAUAUUCUCUUUGUAUAUUUUAUGGUCAAGUACAUUAUGGUUUUUGCGAGGAAGGGAGGAAUAAGUACUUUAAAUAUGGUCAGACUGGUCACCUAUAGAGAGAUUGUUCUUCUAAGGUUGCUUCUUAGAUGAAUAAGGUUCCUUUUUCUAAUUCAUCUACUUCUGCACCGAAGGGUGCUACUUCUCCCUCUAGCUUUGGCACGGGUCAGAACCGUCUGUAGGCUCUUGCCACCCGCCAGGAUUCUGAAGCAUCCCCUAAUAUUUUUACUGGUAUGCUCAAACUCUUUUCUCUUUAUGUAUACUGUCUACUUGAUCUCGGGUCUACUCUCUUAUGUGACCCCUUAUAUGACUAUUAAUAUUGGGUUUGAUCCUGAGUGUAUUCCAGAUCCUUUUUUGUGUUUACCUAAGUGCGCACCAUUGUGUUUAGAAGGGCCUAUAGGGGUUAUGUGAUACCGGUCCAUGGAAGGGAGACCUUCAUGGAUCUUAUAGAGUUGGACUGGUAGACUUUGAUGUGAUUUUGGGGAUUGAUUAGUUACAUUUAUGCUAUACGUCCCAUGACUGUAGGAUACGUAGGGUUAGUUUCCAUUUCCCAAAUGAGCCAGUGAUUGAGUUGGAAGGUAGUUCCCUAGUACCUAUGGAAAAGUUUAUAUCAUAUCUUAGAUCCCAAAAAUUGGUUUCAAAAGGGUGCCUCUAUCACUUAGUGCAUGUUAAGAAUUCUAGAUCCGAAGUUCCUUCUUUGUCAUCUGUACCUAUCGUUUGUGAAUUUUCCUAGGUGUUCCCAGAUGAUUUUCCUGGUAUUUCUCUCGAUAGGGAAAUUGAUUUUUAGAUUGAUCUUCUUCCAGACACUCAUCCUAUUCCUAUUCCUCUUUACAGAAUGGCUCCAACUGAGUUAAAAGAACUCAAGGAGUAGUUGAAAGACCUUUUAGAUAAGGGUUGUAUUCAUCCUAGUGUGUCUCUAUGGGGUGCUUCCGUGCUCUUCAUGCAUAAGAAAGAUGGUUCUCUUUGAAUGUGUAUUGAUUAACGCCAAUUGAAUAAGGUGACAGUGAAGAAUAAGUUUCCACUUUCGAGGAUUAAUGAUCUCUUUGAUCAACUUUAGGGUGCUAAGUUCUUUUCUAAGAUUGAUCUUCGGUUUGGGUACCAUCAGUUGAAUAUUAGGUAGGCAAAUAUCUUUAAGACUGCUUUUCGAACCCGGUAUGGACAUUUUAAGUUUUUGAUUAUGUUUUUUUGGCUUGACUAAUGCUCCAAUAGGAUUUAUGGAUAUCAUGAAUUGGAUUUUCCAUUAGUUCUUGGAUUUGUUCAUGCUUUUCUUUAUCGAUGAUAUUUUGGUAAAUUCUAAGAGCGAGGUAGAUUAUGCCGAUCACCUCCGCCUUGUGUUGCAUACCCUAAAUGAUCAUCGUUUGUAGGCAAAGUUCUCUAAGUAUGAGUUCUGGAUGAUUGAUUUGACUUAUCUGGGUCAAGUUGUUUCUAGUAAAGGGAUCAUGGCGAAUCUACAUUAGGUUGAAGUGGUUAAGAAAUGGCCUAGACCUACGACUCCAAACGACAUUCGGAACUUCUUGGGUUUAGCUAGUUGUUAUAGAAGGUUCAUGGAAAAUUUCUCAUCAAUUGCUUCCCCAUUGAGUCUCUACUAUCAUCUAGGUAAAGCUAACGUGGUUGUUGAUGCUCUUAGCAGGUUAUCCAUAGUAAGCUUGUCUCAUGUGGAUAAAGAUAAAUGGGAUGUGGUGAAGGAUAUUAACCAUUUAGACAAUCUUAGAAUUUGAAUUUUGGAUUCUAAAGAUGGUGGUGUGAUUGUUUAAGAAGUGGCAAAGUCAUCUCUAGGUGAUAAAGUGAAGGAGGAGUAGAUGUUGGAUCCUAUCUUAGUGCAAAUCAAGAAUGACGUAGGUAGGCAUAAGGUGAUGGUUUUUGAUAUCGGCGACGAUGGUAUCUUGAGGUACCAAGGUAGACUAUGGUUCUGAGGUUAAUGAGUUACGAGAAAGAAUUUUCAUCACAGCUCAUAAGUUGUGUUAUACUGUUCAUCUUGGUUUAAUGAAGAUGUAUCAUGACCUUAAGGGGAUUUAUUGGUGUAAUAAUAUAAAGCAAAAUAUGGCUAAUUUUAUGGCGAAGUGUAUGAUGUGUCAGCAAGUGAAGGUGGAGCACUUGAGGCACAGCGGGUUGAUAUAAGAGAUUGAACUGUAGGUAUGGAUAUAGGAGAUAAUUAAUAUGGAUUUUGUUAUGAUCUUCCAUGGUCAUGCUAGCACUUCUUUCCAAUGACAGAUGGAUGGGAAAGCAGGGAGGAUAAUUUUGGUAUUGGAAGAUAUGCUUCGGGCUUGUGCAUUUGAUUAUGGUGGUAGUUGGGUUGACCACUUACCUCUCAUAGAGUUUGCUUACAACAACAAUUAUCACUCUAGCAUUGAUAUGGCUCUGUUUAAAGCCUUGUAUGGUAGGAGGUGUAGAUCUCCUAUUAGGUGGUUUGAUGUUGGUGAAGAUAAGAUGUUUUUCCCUAAUUUGGUUCACCAAGCCAUGGAGAAAGUGAAGGUGAUUUGGGAUAGAUUUAAGGCCGUCCAAAGUCGCCAAAAGUCCUAUGUAGAUGUGAAGCAAAAGGAGUUAAAGUCUAGUAUUGGUAAUUAGGUGUUCUUUAAAGUAUCACCCAUGAAGGGAGUGAUGCAGUUUGGUAAGAAAGAGAAGCUCAGUCCUUAUUAUAUCGGUCUAUACUUGGUUGUGAAGAGGGUUGGAAGGGUCGCUUAUGAAUUGGAGUUGCCUUCUAGUUUGAGCUUCAUUCAUCUCGUGUUUUAUGUUUCGAUGUUUAGGAAGUGCGUGAGUGAUACUUUGAUGGUUGUUCCUUUAGAGGAGGUGGGUAUUUUAGGUUUUGUUUCCUACGAUGAGGUUCUAAUUGAGAUUCUAGAUCGGCAAGUCCAUCGAUUACAGACAAAGGAUAUGGCUUUGGUGAAGGUUCAUUAGAGGAACCAAAUGGUUGAGAAAGCUACUUAGGAAGCUAAAGAGUAUAUGAAGUCCAAGUAUAUAUUCCUGUUUUGUGUUUUGAAUAAUCUUGCUUGAGUAUGUGUAUUCCUUAGCAUCUUUGUUUUUUUGUCUUUAUUAAAGGAAAUGGUGAUUUCCUAGGCAUCUUUGUUUUCUGUCUCUGUUAAAGGUAAGAGUAGUUAUAUGUGGAGUCAAAUCAUGCAAAUAAAUGCCUUGUCCUAUCAUUCGAGGGUGAAUGAUCUUAAAAAGGGGAGUAUGUAAUGCCCCGAGUUUUUAGUCUUUGAAUUUUUUUGUGAUUUUGUCUUCACUAUCCUGACUAUGACUAACCCUAUGAGUCAUAGGGUGUCUUGAUGGGUUAGGUGACCCUAGUUGUAAGGUGUACAGUGAAUGGUGUUGGAGUUACAACCCUAGGUACAGGACUUAGGGAUACAAGUCGUAAAGACCCAUGAUGAGUCAUUGGGAUUGAAUUGUAAUCAAAUAUGAAAUUUAGUGGCAACAUUUUGCUUUGAGUACGAGUGGCUUACUAUGAGUCGUAAGGAUUUAUUACGAGUCAUUGGGUGCAAAUUGUAGGAUGUCCAUUGUUUACCUAAUUGUAUUCUAUGUUGAUUAUGACUGGACCUUAUGAGUCGUACGGUCCCAUGAUGAGUGGUACCAGUUGAGUCAUAUGUUCAACAGUGUGUAAGUGUCGUAGGAACUAUCUUGGUUAAGACUUAGGGUGCCGAGUCGUAAUGUGUCUAUAUGAGUCGUAUAGUGACCCGUAGUCACUUGCGACAAUUUUUUAGUCUUUUUAUAAAGGGCACUUUGUAAACAUAAGACUUAAAACCCUAUUGGGGACCCCAUUAGCAGUGUUAACUCACUAAAACACUUUCAAAAAGAUCUCUUCAAUUCUGUCAAGCAACCAUACUUAGGGAUUCUAAGAACUAGGUCAUCCAAGAUCUUAAGGGUUGAAUUCCUUCAGUGAAACUUGUUAUUUCAAGCAUGUUACUCUUUCCACGUUGUUAAUUUGUAAAAAACAUAUGUUUUAAGGUAAUGUUUAUGAGAUAUUGAUGUUAGUUUUGACACAAGGAUUGAGGGUUUUUAAUUCUCCAUGGUUUACAUAUGAUUAUUCAUUUUUUAAUUAUGGUUUUGAACUUGUGGGUGCAUAGGUAUGGUGAAUUGUAAUACCCUAAAAUUUUCCUAGCUUAACUCAUCUCAAAAGUAUCAAGGAUUAGCUUCUAGAAUGAAUGAUUUUUAUGUCGUGUGGAAUUCUUUAGAUAUAGACUUUCCAUGGCAUUGGAAAUUGAAUUAGCUUUCAAAUGAUAUAAGAUUCGCCUAAAUCCGAUAACCGGAUAAGAAGUUAUGGCUAUUUUAAGUACCAUUCGCAAAACACCGUUAUUUGGAGGUGAGUUAGUUAUUGCCAAACAGAUUUAUAAAAAGUUUCUUAUCACUGUUCUUCAUAAGGUCAUGUUAGCAGACUUGAUAGAGUUAGACAUGGUUGAUUUUGAUCUUAUUCUGGGUAUGGAUUGGCUUCAUUCCUGUUAUGCUUCUAUAGAUUGUUGCACCCGAGUGGUGAAGUUUUAGUUUCCAGAUGAGCCAGGUUUUGAGUGGUUAGGUAAUUCAGUGUCCCCUAAGAGUCAUUUCAUAUCUUAUCUUAAGGCAAGAAAAUUGAUAUCCAAAGGUUGCAUUUAUCAUCUAGUUCAAGUUAAAGACACUAAGUUUGAGGCUCCAACUGUUCUGUCAGUGAAUGUAGUAAAUGAGUUUCCUGAUGUUUUUUCAAAAGAUCUCCCAGAGGUACCUCCUGAUAGAAAAAUAGAAUUCGGUAUUGACCUUCUCCCAGAUACUUCGCCUAUUUCUGUACCCCUUUAUUAUAUGGCUCCCGUAGAGCUUAAGUAGUUGAAGGAGCAACUCAAAGGUCUUUUAGAUAAAGGUUUCAAAAGGCAUAGUGUUUCUCCAUGGGGCGCUUCCGUCCUAUUCAUGCGAAAUAAAGAUGGUUCUUUGCGUAUAUGCAUUAACUAUCAUCAUCUGAAUAAGGUUAUAGUUAAAAACAAAUACCGUCUUCCUAGAAUUGAUGACUUAUUUGACCAACUCCAAGGUGCAAGUUAUUUCUUAAAGAUAGACCUUAGAUCCGGCUAUCAUUAGCUUAAAGUAAGGGAAUGUGAUAUUCCAAAGACGGCCUUUAGAACCCGUUAUGGUCAUUUUUAGUUUCUAGUCAUGUCUUUUGGGUUAACAAAUGCUCCAGCAGCUUUCCUGGACCUCAUGAAUCGAGUGUUCAAAUAGUAUCUAGACAUGUUUUUCAUAGUAUUCAUAGAUGAUAUCCUUGUGUACUCUUGUAGAGAGAAUGAUCAUGUAGAUCAUCUUAAAACUGUCUUACAAACUCUUAGAGAUCAUUAAUUAUUUGUCAAAUUCAGCAAGUGUGAAUUUUGGCUAAGGUCAGUAGCCUUUAUCGAUCAUAUUAUUUCCAUUGAUGGCAUUAGGGUUGAUCCCCAAAAGAUGGAAGCAAUAAGAAAUUGGCCUAGACCUAUCUCUCCGAUAGAUAUUAGGAGUUUCUUAGGUCUAGCUGGCUAUUACUACUGCUUUGUUAAAGGUUUCUCAUCUAUUGCAUCUACUAUAUCUAGAUUGACCCAAAAUAAAGUUAAGUUCCUGUGGUCAGAUUCCUACGAGAAGAAUUUUCAGGAGUUGAAGACUCGACUCACUUCAAUCCUAGUGUUAGCAUUACAUGAUGGUACAGAUUGUUUUAUAGUGUAUUGUGAUGCCUAUAGAGUUGUUUUGGGUUGUGUGUUGAUGCAAGGGGAUAAGGUCAUAGCCUAUGCAUCAAGACAAUUGAAGCCUCAUAAGAAGAAUUAACCAACCCAUGAUCUGGAAUUAGCUACUGUGGUAUUUGCUUUGAAAAUCUGGAGACACUAUCUAUAUAGUGUUCAUGUCGAUAUAUUCAAAGACCAAAAAAUCUUGCAGUAUGUGUUUACUCAGAGGGAGUUGAAUCUCUGUCAGAGAAGGUGGUUAGAGUCUGCAAGACUAUGAUAUGAGUGUUUUGUACCAUCCGUGCAAGGCUAAUAUAGUGGCAAAUGCCCUUAGUAGGUUGUCUAUGGGCACUGUUGCUCAUGUGGAGGAUGGUAAGAAAGAAUUAUCUUGAGAAGUUCAUCAUUUGGCUAGAUUGGGCGUUAGGCUAGUUGAUUCACCUAAAGGUAAUAUUUGGGUUCAGAGUAGUUUCGAAUCUCCCUAGUUUCAAAAGUGAAGGAGAAUCAAUAUAUGGAUUCUAGUUUGGUCAAAAUGAAGGAGUCAGUUAAAGACCAAAAGGUAGAGGUUUUAUCCCAAGGGGGAGAUGGCGUGUUAAGGUAUCAAAGUGGAUUGUGUGUUCCAUGUGUUGAUGAUUUAUGGCAGCGGAUUAUGGUGGAAGUACAUGGUGCACGUUAUUCUAUUCAUCCAGGUGCUACCCUGAUGUACUAUGGCUUGAGGGAGAUCUAUUAGUGGAAUGGUAUGAAGAGAGAUAUAGCAGAGUUCGUAGCUAAGUAUGCAACUUGUCAACAGAUUAAGGUAAAGCACCAAAGACCUGGUGGUAUGUUGCAAGAGUUUGAUAUUCCCACUUGAAAAUGGGAAGUGGUAAAUAUAGAUUUUGUGACUGGUUUACCCCAAUUGCGUCUUCAUCAUGAUUCGACAUGGGUUAUUGUAGACAGAUUGACUAAGUCAGCGCAUUUCUUCCCAGUUCACACGUCCUACACAGCUGAGGAUUAUGCUAAGUUGUAUAUCCAAGAGUUAGUCAGAUUGCAUGGAGUUCCCUUGUCAUCAUCUUAGAUAGGGGUACUUAGUUUACUUCCCAGUUUUGAAAAGCCUUUUAGAAGGGUCUUGGUACCCAAGUCCACCUUAGUUCAACUUUUCACCCUCAGACAGAUGGUCAGGCAAAAAGGAACAUCUAAACUCUAGAAGAUAUGUUGAAUGCAUGUUCUCUUGAUUUCAAAGGUAGUUUGGAUGAGCAUUUUCCAUUGAUUGAGUUUGCUUAUAAUAAUAGUUAUCAUUCUACCAUUCAAAUGGACUUGUUUGAGGCUCUUUAUAGAAGGAGAUGUAGAUCACCCAUAGGUUGGUUUGAAGUGGGUGAGCCCGACUUACUUGGGCCUGAUGCACUGUUAGAAGCUAUGGAGAAAGUUAAGUUGAUUAGAGAAAGAUUAAAAAUAGCCCAGAGUCAUCAGAAAUCCUAUGCAAAUGUGAUAAGAAGGGACAUCAAGUUUGUGGUUGGUGAUUUAGUAUAUUUGAAGAUUUCACCCACGAAAGGGUGAAGCAAUUUAGAAAAAAGGGGAGGCUUAGUCCCCGGUAUGUUGGCCCUUAUAGAAUUCUGAGUCGUGUUGGGAAAGUAGGUUAUGAGAUUGAGUUGCCCGCAGACUUAUCAGCCAUUCAUCCUGUAUUCCACGUCUCUAUUCUUAAGAAGUGCAUUGGUGACUCCACCGUUGUAGUUCCUAUAGAAAGCUCAGAUAUUCAAAACAGUCUUUCAUACAAAGAGACUCUAGUUGACAUUUUAGAUCAUCAGAUCUAUAGACUAAGGAACAAAGAAGUUCCCUUGGUUAAAGUUCUUUGGAGGAAUCAGUCGGUUGAGGGCGCCACUUGAGAAAUAGAAGCAGACAUGCGAGGUAAGUACCCUCACCUCUUCUCUGCAGACUCAGAUUUAACCGAAGGUAAUACUCUUUCUUAAUCCAGUUCUUUUCUAAUCAAAUAUUCAGCACUAUAGUAGUCCUCAUGUAAGUUCAUGCACUCACCGAAUUACUCAGAAGCUUAGAAUGAUUUAGAUUUAGUUGCUUAGUUUAUUUCAGUUAUGGAUGCUAUCUUAUGCUCUCAAAUUCCUCAGAAAUUUUAGCUUAAUUAGCCACAUUCGUGGACGAAUGUUCCCAAGGAGGAGAUAUUAUAAUACCCCCAAAUUUUUCCUAGCUUAACUUAUCCCAAAAUUUUCAAGGAUUAGCUUCUAGAAUAAAUGAUGUUUAUGUCGUGUGGAAUUAUUUAAAUUUAGACUUUCCAUGGCAUAGGAAAUUGAAUUAGCUUUCCAACGAUAUAAUAUUCACCUAAAUCCGAUAACCGGAUAAGAAGUUAUGGCUAUUUUAAGUUCCAGUUGCAAAACACCAUCAUUUGGACCCUUAGCGCGUUCCAGAGUGGUGUAAAUUUCCAAUUAUCCCAUUCUAAUGGCCCUUCGUGAUAUUGGCGCAUUGCUGAGAGGGUGAAAUUCCCAGAUUUUUAUCCCUACCUAACGGGGGCUAGUCGUGGGACUCCAUGGAUGCUCACAUGGUGUAUGUCGGUUGGAAGAACUUCCUAAAAAGAUAUCCCCUACUCUUAAAGAACAGCUUAUUGAUUAGAAGCCUUAAGCUAUACAUAGUAAGUUUUCAGACUUCACUUAGCCUAUGUGAUUUGAGAAAUAGAACAGGAAUACAGAUUUAAGAACUAAGUGUGAUGACUCACAAGAUUUAGAUUACAUGCUCUAUUAUUCAUACAUUUACUUCCAGAUUUCAGAUUACUCAAUCUUAAGUGAGUUAUUUACAUUUAGCAUGCAUGAUUUUAUAAUCUGUGAUGAUAUUGUUUUCUUAUUGCAUGCACCCCUAUAUACUCAGUACAUCCUUAAAGUACUAAUCCACAUAUAUUUCUAUGUGCUACAUUGUCUCAUAAUAUAGGUUCAGGUGCUCAGUCUCAGCAGCAUGAGUGAUUUUUGAGCAUCUUAUCUUCAUCCCUGCAGCUGGUGAGUCCUCAUAGUUCGAGGGCUUAGUUUUUUAGAAUUCCAAUUUAUCAGUAGAUGUUUUAUUAUUCAUUUCAGACAGUUUGAGUCAGCUAGGGCCUGUCCAUGUGACUCUCUAGAUUCAGCUAGUAGAGGCUUGUUGGACUACUAGAUUUAGUGUUAGACUUCUACUUCAGUAAUCAGAUUUUUAGUAUUGUCAUACCAAGAUUUAUGAGAUUUCUAUGUUUAGAUAAGAUUUCCACAUUUAUUAUGUUUCCAUAUCCAUAUUUCUCCUAUUUUAAGAUUUAGAUUUAUUAGAAAGCAGCCAGGGUUAGCUUAGGACCACUUAUGGUUCGAAGCAUCGUAUGGCAUCCCGAGAAUCAAAUUUUUGGGUGUUACAUGAAUGAACUAGGAAAUUGUGAAUUUCCCAAACUUGUGAUUACUGAAGUGGUUAUGGCUCUAAUCCCAUAUUGUGAAAUUGGUUUUAGUUACGAGAAAUGUAGGAAUUGAAUUAUCCUUGAACUUUUGCAUAAUGGUUUUGAAUUUAACCUUGUGGGUUUUGUAUUUUCACAAGCUAUGGCAUAUUUGAACCAAGGGGGUUGUGAAUUUCCGAAGUGAUGUAAUUAUUUUGGCAUAUUGAUGUUAUCUUACAAGUGUAGUUGGUAUGACGAUACCAACAAUGUAUGCCUAAAUAUGUAUUGUGGUUCAUUGAAUAAGAUUGUGUGAUAAAAUGUUUUUAAUUAGGCUUUAAUAGAGGUUGCGUAGCUGAGUCGUGAAAGUCAAGGUUUGAGUGAAUGAUACUGAAAACCGCAUUUGACGACACGAGAGUGUAAUUGACUAGGUAGGUUUAAGUCCCCCUCAUUAUUAUUACAUGAUUAGUGAGGUUCGAGUCCCCCAUAUAUCAUUACAUGAUCGGGUGCUUAAGUCACCUUAGUAUAUGAUUGGGAGGUUUGAGUCCCCCGUGCAUAUAUAUAGGAUUAUUGUCUGAUUUAUGUGGCUACAUGCACUAGGUCUCGACCAGGGGGUGAGAGCUGGGGCCCACAUAGUUCGUGGGUACAUGUUAUGAUGGUUGAGCUACACAAUCCAGGCUAAAUUUUUAAAGCAUAUGUUAAGCAUUGUUUCCUAUCUCGACAUGUGAUAUAUCUAUACGUAUAUGCAUUUGAUUAUGUGCAUUGGUUUUGAAUGAUUUUGAACUGUUGAUCAUGCAAUUAUGUUAUUCUUAUCCCUGAGUUACACUUUAGUGUUCACCCCACUAACCUUGUCCUGACGCUAUAUCCCCAUGUGAUGCAGGCACUGGAGCUUCAUCUACUUUUUCAGCACAGAGUUAGGUCAUUUAGUUUGGUCUGUUGGUUCGUACUAUAAUGGUGAAGUUGUGAGCUUCCAUUCCCCGGAAGGUUUAGUAAUUUCACUAGCUUUCAUUCUUAGAUUUGUGUUGAUUGUUACCUUCACUAUCUUUUCAUUCUCAUUGUCAUCUGUCAGAAUCUGGGAUAUGUCCUGACAAAAACUAUUUUAGUUCUUUGCUUAGAAGCUUUUAUUUGGAUUACUAUAGAUAUUGGGUGGUGUUGUUCGGUUGUUUGGCCGGUCAUCAGUCGUCGGUUAUAGACUUGUUUUGAUUUUUUUAAGCUUGUCACAUGCUAUCUUGUUAUAUGUUCGGAAUUCAUCUGACAUUAGGAGAUAUUGUGUUUGAUUUGGUUAGGUAUAGGGGGUGAUCUUCGGUGCACGUGAGAUUUGAGAUAGCUGGCACGACUACGCCCUAGUUUAGAUCAUAACAAACAGUGAUGAAGAUGACAAGAUGCAUGCUGGUAGAAAAGAAGAUACCUAAAUAUUUUUGGGCUGAGGAAAUCAAUACUACCGUCUAUUUGCUAAAUCGAUUACUAGCUAUUUUUGGUAGGAAACUGAUUAGUUGUUUCUGUUAUUAUUGAUAGAAAAUAGGUUGUUUUAAGGGUAACUUUAACCUAGUUUUAGUUGUAAUAGAUACUAUUUAGAUUAAUAAAAUAUGUUGCUUUACUAGAAUAGAGAAAAAACAUCUUUGCGUCUCUUCUUCUCUAACUCAUUUCUGAUUUUAGUUGUUUUAUUAUUGGCUCUCCUUGAUAUGUUAUUUUAGCAGUAUUAAAACCAAUAGUUGAUAUCAAACCUAUUUUCUUGAGGGACCUGAAAGUGAAGAGAUGGAUUCUGAAAAUAGCUUUUCACGAAUGGCUCCACCCGUUAUUGAUGGUGUAAAUUAUCAAUUAUGAAUUGUGAGAAUGGAAGCUUACUUGGAGGCUUUUGAUCUUUGGAAAGCCGUUGUAAUACCCCAAAAAAUCCAAACCAAUAUUAGAGCCAUGUACAAAUCUCAUGCAUAGUACAUCAUGGUUCUUUUAUAUUUUUAUGAUUAAGUUAGAUGUAUAUUAAGGCUUCAAAUAACUCCCAUCUAUCAGACGAAUCAAAACAUUCCUUACCGAUUGAAUUCUUGAGAAGGAUAUUGGUAUAGUAAACUUCAAACAAGCAUAUAUAUCAUUAUAUUUUAAAUUUUUGAGAUCAUGACCUAUAAGCAGAUAGAUAAUUGAAUUACCUUUCCAACGAUACCAAUUUUGCUUAAAUCCGAUAUCGGAGCAAAGAGUUAUUCCUAUUUUACUCCAGCAUGUCAGGCUGGAAAUAGUGUGACGACAUUUGUGGUAGCUUACCACAUUUGUGACGUCCUAUCACAAAGACCAUCAACCUUAGGCAGAAACCAGAUCCUAAGUGACGACAUUCUUGGAAGCUAACCACAUUUGUGACUCCCUAUCACGAAGGUCGUCAGCCCUAGGCAGCAUACAGCUUCUGUGUGACAACAUUUUUGACGGUUUACCAUAUUUUUGACGCCAUGUCACAAAUGUCAUCAGCCUUAGGCAAAAUCCAUCUUCUGUGUGACGACAUUUUUGAUGGGUUACCACAUUUUUGAUGCCAUGUCACAAAUUUCAUUAGCCUUAGACAGAAUUCAGCUUCUGUGUGACGACAUUUUUGACGGCUUACCACAUUUUUGACGCCUUGUCACAAAUGUCGUCAGCUAUUAUUUUCAGCAAUUGGGAAUUUAUUUCAUAAGGGUAUUUUGGUCUUUUUCUUCACUUCCCACGACUUAUAACCCUUAAGGAACGUAGUAUCUUCCAUUCUCUUUAGUUAAAACAUCUCAAAAGCUCUUUCAUAAACUUUCAACCACAAGAUUAGGGUUUCCUCUCAAGAUGAUCUCCUCGGGAACAACAACAUUCUUUCCCAAAGGGGUUAAACCUUAGUAAAAAAAAAAUCAAGGGCAAGCCUAAGGAAUUCUUCAAGAACCUUCAGAAACAUUAGAUCUCUUUCAAGAUUCAAUCACUAAGGUAUGCGUAGUGUUCAUCUAUGGAUCCAAUCCAUUCAUAGAGCUCAAGAACCAUGUUUUAAAUAUUAUUUUGUAAACUUUUGUGGUGAUAUGAGUAUGUACAUGUUGACGAUUGUUGUUUAAGUUUCAAUGUGAUGUCUAGAGGUGUUUUCAUGGAAUAUAUAUGGUGUUAAUUGAAAACCAUGAACUUUAGGUAGUUUAAUAUGGUGCAAAUAUGAAACCCACCUAUUCCUUAAAGAAUGCAUGCAAGGUGUUUGAUAAAAUGUUUAAGAUGCUAGAAAUUCAUGUUUGUAUAGUUCUAUGAUGUCUAAAUGACAAGUUCAUGUCAGCUAUAUACAUCAAUAUGAAUUCCAUGCUUUUCAUGUGUUGCUAUGGUGGUGGUAUGAUGCAUGCAAGAUAAUGGAGAUAUACAAUAUGUACACAAAAUAUAUCCAUGCAUUCCCUACAAUAUUUAAGAUAUUGAAUAAAUAUAUGAAAUAUGAUAUCCCCUACUUAGGAUAUUAUGAAUUGUGGAGUCAAAUCUUGUGAUCAAGUCAGGUCAUGUGUGUCAGUUUCCUUCUAUCGAGUCCUGGGGGUAUUUGUACCCAAAAAAUAUAGCUGUGUGCCUAGAGCCAUGUCAUGUUAUCACGAUAAUCUCAGUCAAGCUAUAAUUUAUAGAACUCAGUCAGUCAUGUGACUCAGGAAACCUCAGAAAUCUCAUGAUCUCAGUUAACUCUUAGAUAAUAGUACUACUCCAUCAGUCAACGAAAGUCAGUUAAUCUGUCCAUGUACAGUCAAUUGAAUCAUGUUUAGUCUCUUUAGAUAGGAAUAGAAGUUAGCACCAAGUGAACCCAAAGAUGGGGACUCACCUACCAGUUUAGGGUGUGUUUCUUAGCAGUUAUCCUUGUGUUCCAGAACUACAUAGCCAGCAUAGGUUGAGACAUCUUAGCCUGUCAGAUUAGGGUUGAUGAGGUGGCUUAACCUAUUAGUUUAGGGUCCCACCGUUCUCUCUUUGAGUACCAUCCAAAUAAGGUUCACUCAUAACUGUCCUUACCAGUGGCGCGGUAUUGACACCCCUUCGGUUGGGGUAGAGAUUGGACUCCAGCUUAGCCGUGAUGGUAUACAUGGGGCAUGUCGGUUAAACAAUUACCUCCCACAGUUUUAGUAUUAGUCUCAGUAAAAAAACUUAGACAUUUCUUCAGAUAUCAGUAUACUAGGACUGUUAGAUACAGUUAAACUCAGUUAUAGCAUGGGACUUAGGGAGUUCUACCAGAUUCAGGACUGUCAGACACAGUUGCUCAUAUUAUCAAAACUACAGUUCCAGUCAUGUAUUAGCAUAUAGAUUUAGCUACCACGUACUCAUGAUCUCAGUUACUAUGUAUGUAUGUAUGUUUAUAUUCUUACGUUCAUAUCAAUCAGUCAAUUAGCAUUAUCCAUGCAUGAAAACCUUUUGUAUUAGCCUACCUCACUCGUAUACUCAGUACUCCAGUUGUUCUGAUGCAUUUGCGCUAUGGUGUUUUUUUUUCAUGUUACACCAUAGGUUCAGAGACACGAGCUCCAGACCAGUAGUAGCAGUAGCAUUUCCAGUUGCAGAGAUUCAGUGAGUCCUUUUCAUUCAAGGAUAAUAUGAUUUGAUUUAUUCAUUAUUAUUUUAGCUAGUUAUCAGUUUUACGGAGUUAGUUGGAGACAUGUUCCUUCAACUCCUUAUUCAGACAGUACUUAGAGGCUUUCAGAUUCAGUAUUCAGACUUAUGUUCAGAUUUGAUUCAGUUUUCAGCUGUUUUGGGUAUCUUUCACCCAUAUGGAUAUUAUGUUUUGAUAGAUUCUUUAUUUAGUUGAACUUUAUGGCCUACAUGUUCGUGUUUUCCGUAUUAUUACGUUAUAUAUGCAGUGUAUAGGUACAGAUAUCAGUCAUGGGUUAGCUUGUGGUCCCUGAGGGUCAUGAGCACCGUGUGGCAUUCCGAUUCAGAAAAUCAGGGUAUUACAAACUUUGUAUCAGAGCCUAAGGUUCAAUAGAGUCCUAGGAAGUCUGAAAGCCGCAUCUAGCAGAGUCUUGUACAUGGGUGUGUUGAGCGCCACAUUUAUGUACAAGAGGCUAUGAGAUUUUUUAGGAACAAUUCCCUUUCUUCAGUAUUCAUGUCAUGCUAGUAAGAAUAAUUUCAAGUCAGUCUCUCAGUCUAAUCCACUCUUCUCUUAUUUCAGAAACAUACCUCCAAAGAGAAGAAAUCAGCCAACUCCUCAUCCCAAAGAUCCUUUGGGCAAACAUGUUUCUCAUACGGAGUUCAGGACCGCAUUUACUGCUCUUACUAAGUCAGUAGCUGCCCAGAAUGAACUACCAGCAGUCGUUCCAGCCAACCCAGUGGCCAAUUCAGCAGUAGCUAGGAUUCGGGACUUCACCUGAAUGAACCCUCCGUCUUUCUUUGGGUCUAUGCCAGACAAGGAUCCUCAGGAAUUCAUUGACCAAGUAUAGAAGGUAAUUGAUAUCAUGGGAGUCACUUCUUCUCAGAGUGCCGAGUUAGCCGCAUACGAUUUACAGGAUGUCUCUCACACUUGGUACAAGCAGUGGUUAGAUGAAAGGGUAGAGGAUACAUGUCCUGUUGAGUAGGAAGAAUUUGUCAUGGCUUUCUUAGAUAGAUUCUUUCCCCAAGAGCUGAGAGAGGCCAAUGUUCUUGAUUUCAUCAAUCUCAGGUAGGGAAAUAUGACAGUUAGAGAGUAUUCUCUUAGAUUUAUCAGCUAGCCAGAUAUGCCCCUUAUGUGGUUGCAGGUAACAGGGUUAAGAUGGGCAAGUUUAUGUCAGGGGUGAAUGAUAGUGUGGUAAAUAAGUGUAGGUCUGUGAUGUUGAAUAGUGAUAUGACUUUAUCCAGGCUCACGACCUACGCUCAAAAGAUAAAGGAGCAGAAGGUUAAGACUAGAGAGAGGCAAAACAAGAAAGCAAGAACAAGCAAUUUCAGUUUUGCUCAGCCCAAAUCAGAGGGAGGAAAUCAUUCGCAGUUUCAUCCUAAGUCAGUAGUUACAGCCCCUUCUUCCUAUAGUUCCCCAGUGCCAAAGUUCAGGGACAACAACAGAGGUAGAGAACCAGGCUCUAAAUGUCAGGGCAGUGUUAGCAGUGCCCGAACAAACCCCCUUUGUCAGACUUGUGGUAAGAACCACAAGGGUAUUUAUAGAGCCGAUAGUGAUGUCUGUUUUGGUUAUGGUAAGCUAGGCCAUAGGAUUAGGGAGUGUCCUCAGCCGGGCCCUCAGGGUCAGCAGAAUCGUUCCACAGCUAAGUUCGGUCGCCCGAACCAGCAGGGUGCCACUUCCAGUGCUACUAGUGGGCAACGACCAAAUAGACUGUAUGCUCUUCAUACCCAAUAGGAUCAGGAAAAUUCUCCUGAUGUUGUUACUGGUAUGUUACAGGUUUUCCAUGUUCAUGUUUAUGCUUUCCUAUACCCAGGUACAUCCUUGUCUUUUGUCACUCCAUACAAAGCAGGCAAUUUUGGAAUCAGUCUUAAAAUUUUAGCAGAGCUCUUUUCAGUCUCCACCCUAGUGGGUAAAACCAUCAUAGCUCGGCGGGUAUACAGGAACUACCCGAUUAUAAUAUAUCAGAAAUCCAUGUUAGCAGAUUUAGUCUAGUUAGAGAUGACUGAUUUUAAUAUCAUUCUCAACAUAGAUUGGCUUUAUUCCUGCUAUGCUAUAGUUGAUUGCAGAAAUAGGAUAGUUCAGUUUUAGUUCUCGAACGAGCCCAUCUUAGAGUGGAAGGGUAGCACUUCGUCUUUUAGGGGUCAGCUUGUUUCCUACCUUCGGGCAAGGAAAAUAAUUUCUAAGGGGUGUGUGUAUCACUCGUGCAUAUUAAGGAUUCCAGUUCUGAAUCUCCUAGUCUCGAAUUAGUCCCAAUGGUUAAUGAAUAUUCAGACGUCUUUCCCAAAGAUCUUCCAGGCAUUUCUCCCGAAAGAGAAAUAGACUUCGACAUAGACCUUCUCCCAGAUACUCAACCUAUUUCUAUUUUGCCAUACAGAAUGACACCAGCAGAACUCAAGGAACUGAAAGAUUAGUUGAAGGAUCUCUUAGAUAAGGGAUUCAUUAGGCCCAGUAUAUCCCUAUUGGGUGUGCCAGUCUUAUUCGUGCACAAGAAAAAUGGUUAUCUCAGAAUGUGUAUUGAUUACCGUCAGCUCAACAAAGUUACGGUCAAGAAUAGGUAUCUGCUACCUAGGAUAGAUGAAUUGUUUGACGAACUUUAGGGUACCAGUUAUUUCUCCAAGAUAGACCUCAGAUCAUGCUAUCAUCAGCUUAGAGUUAGAGAAUGUGACAUUUCGAAGACAACUUUUCAUACUCGGUAUGGUCACUUUAAAUUUCUAGUCAUGUCCUUUGGUCUUACCAAUGCCCCUGCAGCUUUCGUGGACUUGAUGAAUCGAGUGUUCAAGUAGUACUUGGACAUAUUCAUUAUAGUCUUCAUAGAUGAUAUUCUGGUCUAUUCUCGUACAGAGCGUGAUCAUUCAAACCAUCUCAUAAUUGUUCUUUAGACUCUCAGGGAUCACUAGUUGUUCGCCAAGUUCAGUAAGUACAAAUUUUUGCUAAGAUCAGUAGCAUUCCUUAGCCACAUUAUUUCCGAUGAUGGCAUUAUAGUAGAUCCUCAGAAAACCAAAGCGGUAAGAAACUGGCCUUGCCCUAUCUCUCCAUCAGAUAUCAGAAGUUUCUUGGGUUUGGCUGGCUAUUACUGACGGUUUAUCAAGGGAUUUUCUUAUAUUGCAUGUCCUAUGUCCAUAUUGACUCAAAAGAAGGUCAAGUUUCAGUGGUCAGAACCAUGCGAGAAGAGUUUUUAGGAGUUAAAGACUUGACUCACCUCAGCUCCAAUUUUAACACUUCCCGACCAUUCCAAUAGAUUCGUAGUAUAUUGUGAUGCAUCUAGAGUAGGUUAGGUUGUGUCCUCAUUCAACAUGGUAGAGUCAUAGUCUACGCCUCCAGACAGUUAAAGCCCCAUGAGAAGAAUUAUCCUACUCAUGACCUUGAGUUAGCAAUAAUUGUCUUUGCCUUAAAGAUUUGGAGGCAUUAUCUAUACGGUGUUCAUAUAGAUGUCUUCAUAGAUCAUAAGAGCCUUCAGUAUGUCUUUUCCUAGAAAGAUCUCAAUCUUCGUCAGAGAAGGUGGUUAGAGCUCUUGAAGGAUUAUGACAUGAAUGUCCUUUAUCAUCCUGGCAAGGCCAAUGUAGUGGCCGACGUAGACUGUCCAUGGGUAGUGUUUCCCAUGUUGAGGAUAGUAAUAAGAAAUUAGCUCAGGUGAUUCAUCAGCUUGACAGACUAGGCAUUCGCUUAGUCGACUCUUCAGAGGGUGGUGUGUGUAUUCAGAGUAGUUCAGAGUCAUUUCUAGUUUUCAAGGUGAAAGAGAAGCAAGAUAGGGAUCCUAGCCUUGUCAAGCUAAAAGAGUCAGUUCAGAGUCAGGAAGUAGAGGUUUUCUCCCAAGGGGGAGAUAGUGUUCUUCGUUGUUAGGGUUUUCUGUGUGUUCCCGGUGUAGAUGACUUGAGGCAGAAAAUUCUUAUAGAAGCGCAUAGUGUGUGAUACUCUAUUCAUCCAGGGACCACUACUAUGUAUUGCGACUUAUGGGAGAUCUAUUGGUGGAGUGGGAUGAAGAAGGACGUUGCAGAGUUUGUGGCUAAGUGCUCUACAUGUCAGCAGGUUAAGAUAGAGCAUCAGAAACCUAGUGGUUCUAUGCAGGAGUUCACUAUUCCUACUUGGAAGUGGGAUGAACUGAACAUGGACUUUGUGAUGGGUUUGCCUAGAACACAUCAUCAGCAUGACUCAGUUUGGGUCAUUGUAGACAGAAUGGCCAAGUUAGCUCAUUUCCUUCCAGUUCGUACCUCUUACUCAGUCGAGGAUUAUGCCAAACUCUAUAUCAGGGAGUUGGCCAGAUUACAUGGUGUUUCACUAUCUAUCAUCUCAGACAGAGGUACCCAAUUCACCUCUCACUUCUAGAAAGCAUUUCAAAAGGGUUUUGGUACCCAAGUUCAUCUCAGUACAACAUUUUAUCCUUAGAUAGAUGGUCAAGAAGAAAGGACCAUUCAUACUCUAGAAGAUAUGCUAAGGGUGUGUGCAAUUGAUUUCAAGGAAAACUAGGAUGACCACUUGCCUUUGAUUGAGUUCGCAUACAACAAUAGCUAUCACUCCAGUAUUCAGAUGGCUCCAUUCGAAGCUCUCUAUGGUAAGAGAUGUAGGUCUCCAAUCAGUUGGUUCAAAGUUAGUAAGACCUCAGUCAUAGGGCCUGACUUAGUAUUCGAUGACUUAGAGAAAGUUCAGUUGAUCAGAGAAAGACUCUGGGCUGCUCAGAGUCUAUAGAAGUCUUACGUGGAUAUUCAUAGAAAGGAUCUCAAAUUCGACGUCAAUGACUAUGUCUAUCUCAAGAUCUCUCCCAUGAAGGGAGUGAAGAGAUUCGACAAAAAGGGAAAGCUCAGUCGCUGAUAUAUCGGUCCCUUCAGGAUUCUCAGUCGCUUCAGCAAGGUAGCCUAUGAGCUCGAAUUGCCUUCAGAUCUAGCCUCAGUCCAUCCAGUCUUCCAUGUCUUUUUGCUCAAGAAGUGCAUAGGUGACCCAGCCGUUGUAGUCCCUAUUUAGAGUGUUGAAAUUCAGAAUAGCCUCUCUUAUGAAGAUAUUCCAGUCAAAAUCCUUGACUAUCAGACUGAUAGGCUGAGGAAAAAAGAAGUCCUUCUAGUCAAGGUUCUUUGGCUGAAUCAGUCCAUGGAGGGAGCUACUUGGAAAGAAGAACCAGACAUGCGAACCAAGUACCCUCAUCUUAUCUUUGCUAAUUUAGACUUAGCUCUAGGUAACUAUUUUCCUUAAGCUUAUUCAGUUACAUGUUCAAAAUUCCAGUAUAAAAUUGGUAUCAAGUAUCAGUGCAUAACUUAUUAUGCAUUUAUGAGUUCAGCUUAUCAAUCAUGCAUCAGCUAUGCAUGUUCAGUUGGGCUAUAUUCAUUUUAGAAUUCAAUUCAGUCCUCAAAUCAUGUGCCAGUUGAGCAUGAUCAGUGUAUGCAUCUUUUUAUCUUUUCUCCCCUCUCAAGCAGUCAUCAUUCAAGGACAAAUGUUUUUAAGGGGGAGAUAUUAUAAUACCCCAAAAAAUCCAAACUAUUACCAAUCUCAUGCAUAGUAAAUCAUGGUUAUUUUAUAGUUUUAUGAUAAUUUAGAUGUAUAUUAAGGCUUCAAAUAACUCCUAGCUAUCAGACAAAUCAAAACAUUCAUUACCGAUUGAAUUCUUGAGAAGGAUAUUGGUAUAAACAACUUCAAACGAGCAUAUCUAUCAUUAUACUUGGAAUUUUUGAGCUCAUGACCUAUCAACAGAUAGAUAAUUGAAUUAUAUUUACAAUGGUACUAAUUUCUCCUAAAUCUGAUAUUGGAGAAAAUAGUUAUUCCUAUUUUUCUCCAGCAUAUCAGGCUGGAAAUAGUGUGACGACAUUUGUGAUAGCUUACCACAUUUGUGACGCCCUAUCACAAAGGUCGUUAGCCUUAGGCAGAAACCAUCUCCUAAGUAAUGACAUUCGUGGUAUCUUACCACAUUUAUGAUGCCCUAUCACGAAGGUCGUCAGCCCUAGGCAGUAUCCAGCUUCUGUGUGAUGAUAUUUUUGACAACUUACCAUAUUUUUGACGCUAUGUCACAAAUGUCGUCAGCCUUAGGCAAAAUCCAGCUUCUGUGUGACGACAUUUUUGAUGGAUUACCAUAUUUUUGAUGCCAUGUCACAAAUGUCAUCAGCCUUUGGCAGAAUCCAGCUUCUGUGUGACGACAUUUUUGAUGGCUUACCACACUUUUAACGCCUUGUCACAAAUGUCGUCAGCUAUUAUUUUUAGUAAUUGGGAAUUUAUUUCAUAAGGGUAUUUUGGUCUUUUUCCUUCACUUCCCACGACUUAUAACCCUCAAGGAACGUAUUAUCUUCCAUUCUUUUUAGUUGAAACAUCUCAAAAAGCUCUCUCAUACACUUUCAACCACAAGAUUAGGAUUUCCUCUCAAGAUUAUCUCCUCAGGAACAAGAACAUUCUUUCCCAAAGGGGUUAAACCCUAGUAAAAAAAAUCAAGGGCAAGCCUAAGGAAUUCUUCAAGAACCUUCAGAAACAUUAGAUCUCUUUCAAGAUUCAAUCACUAAGGUAUGCAUAGUGUUCAUCUAUGGAUCCAAUCCGUUCAUAGAGCUCAAGAAUCAUGUUUUAAAUAUUAUUUUGUAAACAUUUGUGGUGAUAUGAGUAUGUACAUGUUGAAGAUUGUUGUUUAAGUUUCAAUGUGAUGUCUAAAGGUGUUUUCAUGGAAUAUAUAUGUUUGUUAAUUGAAAACCAUGAACUUUAGGUAGUUUAAUAUGGUGCAAGUAUGAAAGCCACCUAUGCCUUAAAGAAUGUAUGCAAGGUGUUUGAUAAAAUGCUUAGGAUGCUAGAAAUUCAUGUUUGUAUGGUUCUAUGAUGUCUAAAUGACAAGUUCAUGUUAGCUAUAUACUUCAAUAUGAAUUCCAUGCUUUUCAUGUGUUGCUAUGGUGGUGGUAUGAUGCAUGCAACAUAAUGGAGAUAUACAAUAUGUACACGAAAUAUAUCCAUGCAUUCCCUACAAUAUUUAAGAUAUUGAAUAACUAUAUGAAAUAUGAUAUCCCCUACUUAGGAUAUUAUGAAUUGUGGAGUCAAAUCUUGUGAUCAAGUCAUGUCAUGUGUGUUAGUUUCCUUCUAUAGAGUCCUGGGGGUAUUUGUACCCGAAAAACAUAGCUGUGUGCCUAGAGCCAUGUCAUGUUGUCACUAUAAUCUCAGUCAAGCUAUAAUCCAUAGAACUCAGUCAGUCAUGUGACUCAGGAAACCUCAGAAAUCUCAUGAUCUCAGUUAACUCUCAGAUAAUAGUACUACUCCGUCAGUCAAUGGAAGUCAGUUAAUCUGUCCAUGUACAGUCAAUUGAAUCAUGUUUAGUCUCUUCAGAUGGGAAUAGAAGUUAGCACCGAGUGAACCCAAGGAUGGGGACUCACCUACCAAUUUAGGGUGUGUUUCUUAGCAGUCAUCCUUGUGUUUCAGAACUAUGUAGCCAGCGUAGGUUGAGACAUCUUAGCCUGUCAGAUUAGGAUUGAUGAGGUUGCUUAACCUAUUAGUUUAGGGUCCCACUGUUCUUACUUUGAGUACCUGCCAGGUAAGGGUCACUCACAACUGUUCUUACUAGUGGCGCGGUAUUGGCACCCCUCUAGUCGGGGUAGAGAUUGGACCCCAGCUUAGCCAUAAUGGUAUACAUGGGGUAUGUCGGUUAAACAACUACCUCCCAUAGUUUUAGUAUCAGUCUCAUUAAAAGAACUCAGACAGUUUUUCAGAUAUCAGUAUAUCAGGAUUGUUAGAUACAGUCAAACUCAGUUAUAGCACAGGACUCAGGGAGUUUUACCAGAUUCAGGACUGUCAGACACAAUCGCUCAUGUUAUCAGAACUAUAAUUCCAGUCAUGUAUUAGCAUACAGAUUAGCUACCACGUACUCACGAUCUUAGUUACUAUGUAUGUAUAUUUGUAUUCUUACAUUCAUAUCAGUCAGUCAAUUAGCAUUAUCCAUGCAUGUAAACCCUUUGCAUUAGCCUACCUCACUCAUAUACUCAGUACUUCAGUUGUACUGACGUAUUUAAGCUAUGGUUCUUUCUUUUCAUGUUACACCAUAGGUUUAGAGAUACGAGCUCUAGACCAGCAGUAGCAGUAGCAUUUCUAGUUGCAGAGAUUCAGUGAGUCCUCUUCAUUCGAGGAUAAUAUGAUUUGAUUUAUUCAUUAUUAUUUUAGCCAGUUAUCAAUUUUAUGGAGUUAGUUGGAGACAUGUUCCUUCGACUCCUUAUUCAGACAGUACUUAGAUGCUUUCAGAUUCAGUAUUCAGACUUAUGUUCAGAUUUGAUUCAGUUUUUAGCUAUUUUGGCUAUCAUUCACCCAUAUGGAUAUUAUGUUUUGAUAGAUUCUUUAUUCAGUUGAACCUUAUGGCCUACAUGUUCAUGUUUUCUGUAUUAUUCGUUAUAUAUAUAGUGUACAGGUACAGAUAUCUGUCAUGGGUUAGCUUAUGGUCCCUUGGGGUCAUGAGCACUGUGUAGCAUUCCGAUUCAGAAAAUUGGGGCUUUACAGCCGUGGAAAAGGAUUAUGAAAUUAAUCCGCUUCCAAAUAAUCCCACUAUAGCCUAAAUCAAGAGUCACAAGUAAAAUAAAACCACAAAGUCUAAGGAGAAGGCAACUUUGUUUGCUUCUGUUUCAACAACUACUUUUACAAGAAUUAUGCUUCUCACUUCACAAUUUUUUUUUGGUAUUAUCUAAAGAAAGAAUUUGCUGGAGACGAAAAAUCUGAGAAAUGCAAGUAUUGAAUUUAAUGAGACAAUUCGAGUUGUAUAGAAUAAAAAACCGCGAUACAGUCAAAGAGUACUCAAAAAGAUUACUUGACAUUGUUAACAAGGUAAUACUACUAAGAACUAUAUUUAAAGAUUCAAGAAUUGUUGAAAAAAUUCUUGUUAUAGUGCCCGAAAGAUAUGAAGCAUACAUAACUACCUUGUAAAAUACACAUUUGUCCAAGAUUACCUUGGUAAAGUUAUUAAAUUCUUUUCAAGCACUGAAGUAAAGGAGAGUUAUGAGGCAAUAUGGUAUGGUUGAAGUAGUCUUAGUAUCAAAACACAAAACGCAAAGCAGGGUUAAAAUUUUUAAAAGUUACCCACCUUGUGGGUAUUGUGAAAAAAUGGGUCAUCCACCAUAUAGAUUUUGAAAAAGGCUAGACGUGAACUGCAGUAAGUGUAAUCAGCUUGUCCAUGAAGCAGUGAUUUGCAAAAACAAAAUUAAGAACCAUGAAGCAGAUACACAUAUGGUCAAUGAAGAAGAAGACCGUCUUUUUGCCGCAACAUGUAUCUCAAGUAAGGUUUCAACAAAUUUUUGUCUGAUUGAUAGCAGUUUCACCAAUCACAUGACUUAUAACAAGUGCUUGUUUAAAGAAUUAAACCCUACUGAAAUAUCCAAAGUUAGAAUUAAAAAUGGUGCCAAGAAUCUUGUUGAAGAAAAAGAAACUAUUGUCAUCAAAAUAAGUUCAGGUAAUAAAAUAAUUUCAGAUGUUCUAUAUAAAACUGAUAUUGAUCAAAACUUGUUCAAUAAUUAUCUGUUGGUAGAAAAAUAAUACAAAGUAUCCUUUGACGAAAAGCAUUGCUUCAUCGAUGAUGGUGUUAGAAAAGAAGUUUUAAACAUUAAGAUGAGAGGUAAACAUUUCUUAUUUGAUCCAAUGAAAGAUGUUUUUGUAGAACAUGAAAAGAUCACAGGAUGGAAAAUUUGAAGAUGAUAUUCUAAUUGAAAAGAACAAGAAAAAUGAGAAUCUACUAGGUUUAAAGAAGCGUUCAAUGUUCCUAAAGAAAUUGAAGAAAUGGAGAAGUUACCAAUAUUUCAAAAAAAUAAAAUUGGUUAGUUUAAAUUCUAGAUGAAAAUAAAAAAAGAAGACAUGCCAAUAGGAUUUAGUAGUUAGGGGUUGCAUAUAAGACGAGAAGUGAAUUUAGUUCAUUACAAGCCCAAAGAUGAAUCUGUAGAUUUAUUCAUAAGGUCAAUUUCGGUUAUCAAGUGUGGAGAUCCCAAGAAAGAAGACAAAAAAUUUACAGUUCCUAAAGCAUGAAGGAGUGUUAAAGUUGCUUUAAGUAAUAAUGCACGUGACUUGUCUUUUAUUUUUUUCAGCUUUUUAUACAUACAACUCCUAGUCAAAUUAGAAUUUCUAUUUUUGGUAGGAAACUAAUUAGUUAUUUCUAUUAUUUUUGGUAGCAAAUAGGUUAUUUUUUAUGUUAAGUUUAACCUAUUUUUAGUUGUAAUAUUGACUACUUAAGUUAGAAGUUGAUGAUCAAUAAAAUAUGUUGCUUUACCAAAAAAGAA
rnacentral:lncRNA from 1 species